UUGCUUCUAAGGUAAAUUCAUAGUUAAACUAUCUUUUACUAAAGUCAUAUAUGAGACACUUGUCUUUUUAAAAGGAAUACAUGAAGACAUAUGUAAGUCUAUCCAUCCACCAUGUGAACCAUUUUGUUAUUUUAUAAUUUUAAUAGAUGUCUCUACUAGGUGAUCACAUAUUGUCUCAUUUCUACACAUAAUAUUGUCUUUCUAAGCUCUCUGCACAAAUAAUCAAAAUACAAACACAAUUUCUAGAUUAUCCAAUCAAGACAAUAUGUCUUGAUAAUGUUGGUCAACUUACUUCUCAAACGUUUAUCGACUAUUUUGUGUCAGUUAUGAUUAAAAUUGAGCAUCCUAUUGGCCAUACUCAUACCUAAAAUGGUUUAGAAAAAUCCCUCAGCAAAUGUCUUUAAUUAAUAUCUCAACCAUUACUAAUGAAAAUCAAAUUACCUACUUUAUUAGAGAAAUGAAAAGAAAAUAAUGAAAAGAGAAUAUAAGAGGUCAUUUGUAAAAUGCUUGUACCAUCUACUGAAUAUUGUACUUAACAUCUCUUUAAAAUUUUCCUACCAAAAAGAAAAACCCCAAAAAAACUUUCUUAGGUUAAGAAGCAAAAUUUCUUCUCACUUACAAAACCAAGGGACUAAAAUUAAGAAAAUUUUGAAAUCUCCUCAUUUCUCUUCUCUUAUUCCUUGUCAAAUGAGGUGUUAAUCUAAGAUAAUAGCAACACCCUUACAACCUUUUCAUUGCAUUAACAUGUAUUGAUACUGUUAAGUAUUAAUGUAGAAUAAAACCAAUGAAGAUUAAAUAGUAUCUUGGUGUUUUAUUUACUAUUUUGAGAGAGUCAUAUUUCCCUUUUGUCUCUAGUAAAUAAAUUUGAAACUAAGCACAUUCAAGAGAAAUUCUAGAUAUUGUUGUGAACUAACUUAUAAUGAACCACACUUUAAUAUAAAUAUUGGUGUGAAAGUGAAUACACCUUAGUUGGCAACAAUACAAUAGGAUGGUAAUCAAGACCAAAUCCAACGUCAAGAACAAUGUUUAUAAACUCAUUCCUAUAUUCAAGAAGAUUUUCCAUAAGGACUAUCAUUAAUUUAUUGAAAUAAAGUACAAAGACCAUACAAUAACAUCAAUGGUUGCUCCUAUGAAUGGUUUCUUAGUUUUAAACUUUGCAAGACUUCCUUUUUCUUCCUAUGUUUUCCUUAUUUCUUCAUUUUAUAUUUCUUUUAUAUAUAUAUAUAUAUAUAUAUGCAUGAACCAUUUGAUAAAUUUUCUAUUUCAACUUCUAUUGGCAAAUGGUUUCAAAUUUUUUUCCCUAUACUUUCUUGGAUUUCAAAAAAUAUUUCAUUCAAAAUUUCAACCAAGUUCAUUUACUAAAUCAUUUUGAAAACAAAAUCCUUAAACAACUAAGCUCUAUUCACUUUUUCUUUUCAUAGUAAAUAUUUAUGUGUAAACUUAAAUUCAAAAUGAUUUGAUCAUCCUUGACCAAAUCAAUUGCCCAUAUUUUAUAAUUUGAACAAGUGUUAAAGUCAUGCUUCAAGAUUGAAUAUAAAAAUAAUUACCUUUGCAAUGACUUCAUUUGCCUUUUAAAGAGAUAAUAUCGUAUGCAAAAGUAACACCAAUACUUGAUCCUACUACUGCAAAUUUUACUUACAAUAAAUAGGUUGAAAAAGUAUUAGAUUUUGAAUAUGCCUAAUGAACUAUCUUACCAUAAAUGUGCUUGAACUUCCAAAUCCAACAUAAGAAAAUACGCAUUACCACAACUUUCCCUAAGUUGGUAUCCAAAUGGUUAUUUGCAACCCACUUUAAUAUGUCAAAUUUAUAUGAAUGGCCUCCCUAAAUAUCAAUCCAAGAGUCUUAGCAACAUUGAAUUUAAGAAAAUUUAUUCUAGUCCUGAAUGACCAAAUUGUAAUCAAAUUUUGAAAUUUUCAUUUUUUCAUAAGAACAUACAACCAUACUAUGUUAAUAAUAUAUAGAAAUCAAAGGUCCAGACUAUUCAAUACGUAGCUAAAUGGACAUUAAAUUUACAUCUUUUAAAUUAAAAUUAUCAAAAAGUACAUAAAUUUAUAUACAUAGGAAAGCGCGGACCCGUAUUUUUCACUUGCAUCACCACUCAAUGGCAAGACUCAUUUUUAUUGGUGAAAAAUUAGUUUUGGAAAAUUCGAAGUCGCCACUUAUUUUAUUUUAUUUUGAAAGGGAAAAUAAAACAAAAAAGAAAAUCCUAAAAAAGUGACUCCAUAGUUUUUGGAAAAGCGUGUCUUUGAAAAACCUGAGUCUAAGCCCGGGGAUCGGGUUACCUAUUGGGAAUGUACCUCUAAAAGGUCCCCUUUAAGCCCUACUAAAGUCUCUACUGACUAAGAUGAGGGAAAUGGGGCAAUUAAUUGGUUGAUUAUAGAUGCCUAGGUAGGCUAGGUGAUUUAAAAAAAAUAGCAUGUCAAACAAGAAAAACCAAUCAUAAUCAUAAAGCAGAUUUAGGGUGUGUACCUGAACUGCUUCUCAAAUACUAUCAUAAAACAUCAAAGUUAGUAUAGAAAUAUAGCACACAACAUGUGUUUUAUCCAAGCAAAUCAAGCAUACAUCUAAGCACCUAAGAAUCACAUCAAGCAUAAAUAAGGUUCACAACAACAUGCAUGUUCAUAGAAUUCCGAAAAGUAAGUGAUAGAGAGCGUACCCGAAUAACAUGCAUAAUUUAUAAGAUUUCUCAAAAAAAUGCUAGAGUGGUUAAGACAAAUAUAUAUUAUAUAACAUCUUUAUUAUGUCUAAUAUACAGUACCAAAGCCAAAAUUGAGCCAAGAUAAAUCAAAUGACUCCAAAAAUAAUAACAAUUUCAAGUAAAGUAUAAUUCCAUUAGCAUGCAGUUAGAAAAUGAAGCAUCAAAAAACAAUUUCUGAAAAAUAUCUUGGAGUGGAAUUUAACUACAAAAAAAAUUUCAGGAAACAACUCCUUUACAUCUAGAACAAGAUACCAAAAGCCAAACACUCAUUCAAAUGGAAAAUUGCAGCAAAGACACCCAAAAGUUUUAGAAGGUCCAAAUUAAGCAAAAAAAAAAAAUAGUAUUAUGCAUAAACAAAUUUUUUAAAAAUAAUAAAAGAUCACAUAAAAUCGUUAAAAAAAAAAAAAUCACACACAUCGUUCAAAUAGUCUAUAUCACAGAAAAAAAUAAAUCCAGGGUCGGGGAGUACUCAAAAUAUUUUUAAAACACUCCAACUAAUCUGAUGUCCAAAUUCCAUUAUGUACAGUAGGUACGAUUUUGAAAAAUCAUAUGUCCCUCAAAAUGCAUAUUUUUUUAACAUUUUAUAUGUCUAAGAUCAAUUUUAAGAAGUAAAAAAUUAAAGAAAAAUAUCGAGUUAAAUUUAAAAAGUCAUUUGUUAUUUUAUUUUAAAUUUAUAGGAAGAUUUCAGGUGUCUAGAAUUGGUUGAAAACAGAGCCCCCCUAAAGAAUCGUUUAUAUCUUCUAUUCCAUAAUUUCUUUCUAACUUAAACAAAAUUUUAAAUUUAAGUUCAAGAAAUGAGGAAAAUCAUACAAGUUUUGGAAAUUUUUUAAAAAUAUUCCAAAGUUGCUAAAAUGAAUUUUAAAUCUAGAAGGUCAGUGGUUAAAUGAAAACUGGCAGCAAGGAAGGGUUUUGAAAAAAUUUCUUAUGUAGGGGUUCCAUCAAGUCCCAAAUUACUUUUACAUGAGUUGGUUCAAUGAAUUCCAUUAUUUGACACUAUGAAGUUUGUUCAUGCUUUUCAAAAAAAAAAAAAAGACAAGAGAAUAGUUGAAAAUCAAAUAAAAUAGUGAGAAUGCGUGCCAUGAGGAAAAAUGACAGCAAGAGGUUUCUUGAAAUCUGAAUUUUUUAUGAAUCUAGAAACUCUUUAAGGAUGAAAUUUGAAGGAAACUAGAAUCAUUUAAAAACCAAAGAAAGAGGAGGAUGGUGUGACUGCCCUUGAGAAUGAGUGAAUGGUGCGUGUAGGUAAGAUCGUUUGUGGAGGCUGGCUGAUUCUAUAUUACGCAUGUUGCAUGCUAUAACAUGGCUUCAAAGAGGACGCAAACCACCCCAUUUUCAAUCCUUGAUGUAGCUAUUAGUGGAGUCCAUUCAUAGUGGCAAUAGAGUUGUAACUUUUUGAGUUGUGUGCUAAAAUUGAAUUCCAAAUGCACUUUGUCCCCUGUAGCAUUGUUGAUUGCAUGAAAAAUGAUAGCAUGUCUGUCCAUAUGCAAACCGUUGACCCUUUUAUGCAUAGACUUUCACAAAGAGCUCAAAGCAACAAAAGACAUCAAACUAUUAAUGCUAUAGGGUACAGCCCCAUCAAUUUAAUUUCCUUAGAGGCAUCUAAAAGUGUUAAUGACUUGCAUAAAUGCACCAUUUUUUUUGUUCAUUUCGCGACAUGCAUGAACUCCACAUCAAUGAGUUCACAAUUAUUUUUUUAUCACCGACAGUCCACAUGAAUAGCUUGGGCUUCUCAAACUUCUCAGUGUGGGCAUGUUAUGCAUUAUGGAAUCUCUGGUUUUAGAUUGGAAUUGGGGUGAUGUUCUUGUUCUUUUUCCAAUAAUAGUAUCACUUAGAGACCAUGGUUGUGAAGUUAAGGUUAGUGACUGAGAUGGGAGAAUGAAGAAAGAUGGCCAUGCAUAGCCAUGAAAAAGUGAGAGUCUAGCACUCACGUGUCACCCAAUAAGAAUUCUAUGAUUGGAGGCUGGUACCCUAUGGAUGAACCCAGGGCUAAGACGCAAUAUACCCAAACCAUUCUGAUAAACUUUACCAAUAUACCCCACAUCUGGAUGUGAUUAGCCAUCAUCUCCAGGAUUUCCCAAGCUUGGGUUAUACGUUCUCUAGGAAGAUGCAUGUAAUGGGUAUGAUGGACGAACGAGAUAACCCCAAAUGUUGACCAGUCCAUUCAUCAAGAAAAACAGGUUCAACAAAUAACUCAACUACCAACCAAGUGUUUGCAACAAAGGGUAAAGGCAAUGAAGAACAGAGAUUGGGAGAUUUAAAAAAAAAAAAAAAACAUCCACAUGAGGAUAGAAUGACACUCAAGCAUGAUAAGGUCAAUGAAAUUGCAGCAGGAUAACCUCCCAUAAACAAGGAUGUGACCUAUAUCAAAACAGAUUGCAUUAUCACAGAAUUAUGAAAGUAAAUUCCCAAAAAGCAAUCUCAUGGCCAACUUUCUUCUCAACUUCCUGAUGAAUUUACAUCUAAGCAACUAGCAGCUAUCCUUGGGUUUGAUUUAGCAUUAUCCGAAGAGCUUGGCACUUACCCGCUAGGUUCCUCAUCCAAGUUCCCGAAAUCAAAAGGUGGAAGUCAAAAUCAAGGGACCCAGGCCACAAGAGAAAAGGUAUCAAAACAGAGAGAUGGUGAUGAUGCUAUUACCGUUUUUUGUGAUCUCUAUCCAUUAUGUAAAGAUGGCCAAUCUCUUCUAACAAACAAAUGUGUUUCGGUAGGCUUCUUUCUUUGAUGUAAAGCAGAAACCUAGGGAUGGAGAGUAAAUAGAAUAGAAAAAAAAAACUCUAGAAAACAAGGAGAAUAUCAAGGUUAUAAGUAACAAAAAAAAACCAACAACAAAAGAAGAAACUUUUCAGAUCAAAUGUCAUUUCACAAGUAAUCCAUGUGCUUAAAGAGGUGGUAAAGGGAAAAAAAAUCUAAACAAAAUAACAAAGUAUGAUUUCCAAGGCGUAGUGCAAUUAAAAUGAAAUCAGAUCAUCCUCAUCUUAAAUCAGACAAGCAAGAGAUGGAUAAUCAACCUUCAAACUCACCAGUAACCUAACAAACGACAUCUAAACACAGUAAAUAAUGAAAGGGAAUGGUGUGAAGGGAGAGAGUUUGAAGACCAUGCCAUAAGUAAUCCAUACCCAAACCAUAACAAGAAUAAUAAAAAAAAUGAUUUUUAGCAUUAAUACACAAAUUUGGAAGGUUGAAAAGAAAUGUACAGGCAGCCAUGAGGAUCAUACCUGAAAGUCCUUUUCUGUUUCCCCAGAGACUAACGAACUCCUCUUCUCUUUAACCAAACUUGAUGACCCAAAUGAACUCUCUCUCUCUUUUCAAUGUGUGUUGAAAAAAAUAUUUCUUUUUGAAAACCUCUCUUUUUCUAUCUCUUCACCUCCUCCAAAACCCAUAUGCCUGUGUUUUUUAUAACAAUUGGUAGCCGUUCCACCUCAGGAGUCUUACUCUCUCCGAAUUCCCUGUCUCAUCCAACAGAAAAAUCUCUUUUAAAUGUCAAAAAACCAAUCCAUGCAUAUCACCUAAAGAGUCCUACAUUUUCCAAAAACUUUUCCAUUGGUAGAUUUUUCUAUAAAAACUUCAAAUUAUUAAAUUAAAUAAAUGAAUAAAAAUAAAUAAAUAAAUAAAUCGGAGAAUGAUAAAAUAAUAAUAAUAAUAAUAAAUGAACAAAUAACAAGAUAAUUAACAAAUAAAUAAAAAAUAAUAAAAUAACUAAAUAAAUAAAAGUGAUUAAUAACAAUAAAAAUAAAUAAAAAUAUAAUAAAUGAUUAAAUAAAGGUGAUUGAUAAUAAUAAUAAUAAUAAUAAUAAUAAUAAUAAAUAAAUAAAUAAAUGAGAUAAAUGAGUCAUGCAACCAUACAAGUCACACUAAGAAUGUCUAGUGGGCCAAGUGAGCCUAAGUGAAUCUAGAUGGGCCUAAGGUAUCUAAAUGGGCCUAAGGUGGUGUCUAAUGGGUCAAGUACACCUAUACGAGUCUAGGGUGAGACUAGGUGGGCCUAACUAAGUCUAACCUAAAGUGCACCUAAGUGAAGCCUAAUCUAAACUUGAAAGGCAACCAAGGUCAUAAUGUGGAACCAGAUAAACCCCUCAACCAAAGUCUCCAAAGUGGCUCAAAAAAGAUAAGUUACAUGAGUAGUAAUGAGCCAUCAAAAAAACUAUUAUGGAGCAUUGGAAGUGAACUUAAAGACAUGUGCUAAAGGGACAAAAUAAAGGGUCUACAAAUAUGCCCCUCUUUGGUAGAGAUCAUGAGUGUAGAGAAUGUGAGUUGAAAUACGAAUAAUGAGUGGAACGAAGUGAACUGUACCAAAGAAUUAAAAGGAAGAGACUAGAGAUUUUGUCUUGGCACAUGAAGAGGUAAGGUCAAAAAAUGGGGUCGCAAUGGCAUGGAUGGAACGACUCUAUGUGGAGGGAUGACAAUGAAAGGAGAAAAGUGUAUGAUGAGUAGCACAGAGAUGGAAAAUGAUGAAAAGAAUGACUCAAGGUCAUGAAUGGGAUAAAUGACUCUAGGUUAAGAACUUUGGGCCUUAUAUGCUAGGAAUGACUCUUGGUCGAAAGCUCAGGGCUUUAAAUGAUAUGGAUGACUCUGGGUCAGAAGCUAAGGGCUUCAAAUGCUGUGGAUGACUCUGGGUCAUAAAUAAGAAGAAUGACUCAGGGUCGUGAGCUCAGAGCUCUAAAUGGAUAGCUAAUCAGGAUGCUUUCCAGCGCAUGAUGUUGGGUCGAGGCUACUCACAGGUGGCUAGAAUGAUGAAAAUGAAACAUCUCAGGGAUGUGAAGGAUACAAACAACUCCGGGUCGUGAGCUCAGGGCUUGGGAUGCCAUGAAUGACUCUGGGUCAUGAUGCAAUCAGUAACUCAAGGUUACGAUGAAUAGCUCAAGGCUAUGUGAACAACUCAGGGCUAUGAUCUCCAGGUUCUAUGAUUGAUUGACUAGAAAGAGAAUGCGACAUGCAAACUCCAGGCCAAACCACUCAUGGGUGACCAAAUGAUGAAGGCUCAGCUCAGAAUUGGAAAGACUCCGGAUCUUAAGGAAAUGAUAACUCAAGGCUACAAGACUCAGGGUCUAGAAGGAAUGGAUGGCUGAAGGCUAUAAGACUUAGGGUCUAGAAGGAAUUGCUUAUUGAAGGCUAUAAGACUCAAGGUCUAGAAAGAAUGGAUUUUGAAGGCUAUAAGACUCAAGGUCCAGAAGGAAUAGAUAAACAAGACCAACUUGAAAGUGGAUAGGAAGUGAAUGGGCUCAAAGUCGUAUACUCAAAAUGCCAAGGGUCAUACUACUGAACUUAAAAAGGGAAAUAUGUUCCAAUAUCCAAGGUGUUUGCACUGCUAAAACAACCAAUAAAUCAACCAUUCACUAAAAUCAAUGGGUCAGAAACAAAUGCAUCAUGACAAACCUCUGAAAAAUCUAAACUGAAUGAACUCUCUAUGUCUCAAAAGCUGCUCUGUCAACAAAUCUCAAAAGGUAAAUCUCGGAGUGUGUAUAUCAUGGCUCAUCUAAAAGCAAAUCUCAAAGCGCACAAAAUACAACUCAUCUAGAUAAUCCAAUCCACAAGAUAACAAUGACGAAAACAAUCUAUCUCAUGAGCACCUGGCUAAAUGAUCCACUCAUGUUCCUUGGGUGAAACCUGAUGUGAUCCAUCUCUAUCUCAACAAAAUCGUGUAUGGAGGUCUUAAUAUUGUCAAUCAUUGAAAGUCCUAGAUUAGUACUCAAUCCAAAACCCAGUUGGUUGUUGUCUUAAUCCCAAGGAUACUUAAAGAAAAUGGGGAAAUAUGCCCCAAUAUAAUAUUUGAUGUUGAAGUCAUGAGGUAAACAAACAACAAUGAUCAUCCAUCUAUGUACCGUUGCCUAAACACAAUCUCAUCAAGGAGAUGAGAAUAAGCCCCAGUAUAAUAUCUAAUGUUAAAGUCAUGAGGUAAACAAACAACAAUGAUCAUCCAUCUAUGUACCGCUGCCUAAACACAAUCUCAUCAAGAAGAGGGGAAUAUGCCCUAGUAUAAUAUCUAAUGUUGAAGUCAUGAGGUAAACAACCAACAAUGAUCAUCCAUCUAUGUAUCGCUGCCCAAACACAAUCUCAUCAAGGAGAGAGGAAUAUGCCCCAGUAUAAUAUAUGAUGUCGAAGUCAUGAGGUAAACAACCAACAAUGAUCAUCCAUCUAUGUACCGUUGCCCAAACACAAUCUCAUCAAGGAGAGGGGAAUAUGCCCCAAUAUGGAUAUCAUCCAACAACAACUAGGAACCUCGGAGAAAGGUGGAAAUAUGUCCCAGUGUGGAUAUUUGAUGCACAAUCAAAAGGAUGAGUCCAACAUCAUUAAUGAACUGUCCCCAAACUCAAAAAUCCAUCAAACAUCAAUAUGCCAAGCAAGAGAGAGACCAAAUGCUUCCAAAAGUAUCUUUCAUAAGAGAAAACAUAGUAACGACUAUUCUUCAACCAAUCUGCAAAAGCCUGUUCGAGUGAAGACUGUCAAAGAUGACGUCUAAUCUCAUGGCCUCAAGGUGGUCUUAAAACACGGGACGUAACGUAGGCUAGGAUGAAAAUGUAAAGAAAUGAAAGAAAAUUAGGCUCAAAUACCCAAUGAUCAAACCCAUAGUGUACAACGCGUAAGAGUCUCAUGAGCAUGUGAACUUAAAAGGAGUCGAUGAAGAUGUUGAGAGUGAAAUGAGAAAGAAGGAGAAGUGGUUAAGCCAUCAACAAAUAAUGUAAAUGAUGUGAAGAAAUGUGUCAAAUUGGGAAGGUGUAUAGGUGUUGGAAUGGAACGAAAAUGGAAUAAAUAGUAAGAAAAAAAUGAUGGGAAAUCAAAUGAAGGUAGUGAGAAGGUAAAAAGGAAUGAUGAGCAACGCAUAUCAAUACAACAAAGGUAAAUCAUAUCACCCAUGAUGGAGUAGUAGGGAAGACACUGAUUCAGAGACCUUAGUGAAAGGUUACUCAACUCUCAUACCUGUAAAGUACAACAACUCUGAUCCAAAAAACAAAGGAUCUUACAAAACUUAAAAAUCUCAUGAAAAACUCUCAUCCAUCCAACUGUAUAACGAAAAUGACUCAACGAGCAAAAAAAGCCCUCAUGGAAAACUCGCACAAAUCCUCAAUAAUAAACCCAAUAAAGCCUCAAAUGCUCAAUGGAAUAGGAUAUCAAGUACAAACAUAUCACUGCGUCUUUUUUUUUUCAAUGCGCAUACCUUGGUCAUCAAUAAAUCAUACUCCAAUGAGAAACUACAAGGAAUGAAUAAACUCUCUCAGAUCACUAACGAACAUAUGAAACCCCAUCCCAUAAGACAACCUCUCAAGUUAAAAUCUCUUAAUCAAUGCCAAAAGAUGGAAUGAAGAGAGUGAUAUGACUAGCAUUUAUGCAUCAAUAUGUGAAGAAUCAUCAUUCCAAGGGAAAGAAAUAUGAAAUGUAGCAACCAAUGAUAAAAACUAGGAUUGAGAUGAAAAUGUGAAAAUAAUGAAAUGUAACAGAUAGGGUGGUGAGGUGAUAAUAGCAAGGAUGAGGAAGAUAAGCCUAUAAGUCCAAAGCUCAUGAGACUUUCCUAGCACAACAUAACUAUACAUCAAAGAGCCCCAACCCGGGUGUAGAGAUGAUAAGCAAGGCUAUGGGAAAAAAAAUUAUAGCAUACCAUAUGAGGCUCAAUGGGUUAGCAAUGGUCCAAUAUAUCAAUAAAGGUGAUAAGGUGUAAGGCUAACCGAAAUGAUGACCACCCAUCAUGCGACCAUAAUCUUAAAUGUAAUACUUCUUCAACUGAUUUACAUUAUUAAGCUCUGAAAAUUGGUUUCCAUCUAAGUCGGUCAACCAUGCAGCCCCUUCUGGAGUCAACUCUCGAAUAACAUAGGGCUCACUCCAACUAGGUCUAAACUUUCCUCUAGGGUCUCCAACCAAAUCUCUGAAAAUCCUAAAAACCAAAUCUCAUUUCUCUAAUGGUCUAGGCUUAACCCGUUUCCUGAAUGCACGAGCCAUCUUUCUCUGAUAGGCCUGAACAUGAUUCACUGCUCUCAAUCUCCUUUCAUCUAAAAGGUUAAGCUGAUCAAAUCGAGCCUAGGCCCACUCUAUCUCGAAAAUCUGCUGCUCAAGGGCUACUCUUAAUGAACCUAUCUCUGUCUCGAUUGGCAAAACAAUCUCCAUACCAUACACUAGAGAGUAAGGUGUAACUUCUGUAAAGAUUCGAAAAGAGGUACGGUAUGCCCACAAUGCAAAAAAGAGUUUUUUUGACCAAUUUCGAGAAGUCUCAACCAUCUUCCUCAAAAUUCCCUUCAUGUUAUUAUUUGUUGUCUCUACUGCCUCAUUAGUUUGUGGCUUGUAUGCAGAUGAUAUGUGAUGAUGGAUGUUAUACCUCUAUAACAAAGUAUCUACCUCAACUCGGAAGUGCACCCCUCUAUUUGAAAUCAACUCAUGAGGAACCUUGUAGCGGCAAAUGAUGUGUGACCUGAUGAAACUGACAACUCUAGUAGAUGUCAACCUCGCAUAUGAUGCAACCUCCACCCAUUUGGUGAAAUAAUCUAUGGCGACUAGGAUGAACUCAUGACCACUGGAAUAUUUUGUGAAAUCUUCCCAAUAAUAUCAAUACCUCACAUUGAAAAUGGCCAUGGUGAGGUCAAAACAUGUAAUUCUGAUGGCGGUGCAUGAAUGAGAUCACCAUGAAUCUGAAACUAUGGGCAUUUAUGAACAAACUGACAACAAUUUGUCUCCAUAGUCAACCAGAAAUAACUUGUCCUCAUAAUCUUACGGGCUAGCAUGUGUCCUCCAAUGUGUGACCACAAACUCCUACGUGAACCUCUCUCGUCAUAUGGUCUAUGGAAUCUCGAUCUAAACACAAUAGGAGCAUACCAUCAGUUGAAUGCCUAUAUAAGGUAUCUCUACAAAUCACAAAUCUAGUGGCCAAUUGCCUCAAUGCUCUCCGAUCCUUGGCUGUGGCUACCUUAGGGUAUGUGCCAGAUUUGAGAAACUGAUAAAUGUCAUGAUACCAAGGUAGAUCAUCCUGGACCUCUGUUUCUCCAAUCAGACAACAAUAGGCAGGCGCAGACCUCAACUCAAUCAGCAAUGGACGUACAACCACAGAGUAGCUAAGGCGUCAGUAAACCAGUUCUAUGCUUUAGGCAGAUAAACAUAUCUCAAGUCAUCAAAUCUUCCAACCAGUAACUCCAAAUAAGAGUGAUACAACCUAAGCUUUACAUCCCUAGUCUUCCAAUCUCCUUGAAUCUAUUUGAGUACCAUAUUAAAGUCACCAAAUACCUCUAUCUGUCUAAUGCCAAGCUCUAAUGCAAUCUCUAAACCAAUGAUACAAGUUUCAUACUCAACUGUAUUAUUUGUGGUAGGAUGUCGACCAGAGAAUGCCAAAUGAAUGGACCUAGGAAUAUGAUCACCCUGAGAUGAUACCAACAAAACACCUAUCCCAUUCCCUAACUGAUUGGUUGCACCAUCGAAGUACAUGCAACAUCCUGAUAAGUUAGUCAUGACAACAAACUCCUAAUCUGGAAAAUCAUCAUUAACUGGUCUAUCCUCAUAUGUCGGUAGUGAGGCUAAGUGAUCGGCGACAAUACUUCCCUUAAUGGACUUCUAAGAAACAUACUAAAUAUUGAACUUUGUAAAAAAUAUGAGCCAUCUCAUCAAUCUACCAAUCAAUACAGGUCUGUCAAAUAAGUAUCUCAACGGAUCUAGGCGGGAUAUCAAGUGCACUAAAUACUCUGUCAUGUAAUGCCUCAAUCUCCUGGUAGCCCAAACUAGAGCUAAGCAAAGACGUUCAAUCAUAACAUAUCUCAUCUCAUACUCCAGCAUCCUCUUACUCGGAUACUAAAUAGCUCGCUCCUUCCCUGAGUCAUCAAGUUGAGCUAAAACACAUUCCAAGGCCAUAUCUGAAACUGAAAAAUAUAGAAGAAGUGGACGUCCCGACAUGGGAGGCACUAAGACAAAAAGAGAAAGAAAAUACUCAUUAAUCUUCUCAAAUGCAAGUUGGCAAUCAUCAUUCCAAACUAUUGGCUGGUUUUUCCUCAAUAAACGAAAGAUGGACUCACAUAUGUCUGUCAAUCUAGCUAUCAAUUGACUGAUGUACUGUAACCUGCCCAGAAAACCCCUGAUCUCUUUCUCAGUCCUCGACACAAGCAUGUCAAGUAUAGCUUUGAUCUUAUCUGGGUCGACCUUUAUGCCCUGCUCACUAACCAUAUGCCCCAACAAUUUCCCAAAAGUCACUCUGAAAGUGCACUUUUUGGGAUUUAGCCUCAAUCUGAAUUUUUGAAUCCUCUCAAAGAAUCUCUCUAGAGCUACUAGGUGAUCUGCUCUACCUUGGGAUUUCACAAUUAUAUCAUCCAUAUGAACUUUAACAUCCCUAUGCAUCAUGUCAUGAAAUAAAGUAGUAGCAGCCCUCUAAUAAGUGGCUCCUAUAUUCUUCAACCGGAAUGGUAUAACCCUGUAACAGAAGGUACCCUACUCAGUAAUAAAGGUUGUCUUUUCCAUAUCAUCUAGAGCCAUCAAAAUAUGAUUAUACCAUGAAAAACCAUCCAUGAAAGACAACAUUGAAUGGUCUACGGUGCUAUCGACCAACAAAUCAAUAUGUGGGAGAGAAAAGUCAUAUUUAGGGUUGGCUUUAUUACGGUCUUUGAAGUCAACACUAACUCUAACUUUGCUAACCUUUUUGGGAAAAUGGACGAUGUUAGCCAACCAUUCUGGAUACUUAACCAUUGAUAUAAAUCCAACACUGAGUUGUUUCUAAAUCUACUCCUUCACCUGCAGACUUCAACGUGGGUGCAAUCGCCUCAAUUUCUGCUUAACCGGUCUGGCAUGUGGCAUGAUAGGCAAGUGGUGUUAGACUAUAGAGGGAUCGAGACCAGGCAUGUCCUCAUAAGACCAUGCAAAGACUUCCAAGUAUGACCUGAGUAAAUAAAUAAGUCUAUCACUCUCAUCUAUGGAUAGGGAUGAACCAAUCUUCAGCUCUCUAGGCUUAUCCUCUAUGCCAAAAUUAACGGUCUCAACAUCCCCUAUAGCAGGUGAAACUCUCUCAUCUAUGGGAUUAGAGUCAUGAUCAAAAGAGUCUCUAUCUUAAUCGGGUUGUGCAAUCUCAUCAUCUAUAUCAAAUAUCUGUGGAGUGGGUGAGUGGAGUGUAGAUAUAAAGCUACUAUCACCAGAGACAAACGAAUACUAAAAAAUAGUCGAAUCCAUAAAUGAUGCAAUAGAAACAUCAUCAUAGCGGAAGACAAAUCCCGAUAAAACAUCAAAGAAAAGAUGUGGGUCCACAAGGUCGGACGCUCCAUCAACUGGGCUAAUAGUGCCCUCAAACAAACUACCAUCAUCAUCUAAAAGCUCUGGAAUAGGAAUAGUCUAGGUCUCCUCAACAACCUCAGUGGUAGACACCCCAAACGCAUCAAAUGGUGAAAUAGGCUUAAGCUGAACAAUACUGGUAAUUUGACUCAUGGUCAUCAUGUCCAUCUCAUCUCGGUACUCAUCAUGGGGAACAACUCCAUCAAUCAUCUCAAUGGGAUCAACGAUCACUCCAUCGUCAGUGACCUCCUUGAUUUGUGCCCAAUUGGUAUACCAGCUAAUUCUUGUCCUCUCAAUGGUCCCCGGCAAUGGCACCAUUUGAUUUCGUGCCCAACUGGUGUAUGUUCUGUUGAUUGGGGCUCAAUCAAUUGGUGUACCUUGAUUUUGGUCCUCAGACAAGAGUAAUCAACAAAAUUUAUAACCUAUAUCACCAUGUACUAGGAUAGCCUCAGCUAGCAUAGUAUAGUGGCUCUAGGAUCGUUCACUGGGAAGGGUUUUCAAUUUACAAUUGAUAUUAAUUCAAAGUAAAAUUGGUGCUUUUUCAUUUCAAGGUUAGCUUUAAAAGAAAACAUGAACUUUGGUUUAAAAAAGAUUGGUUUUAAACUAACCAAAAAUAAUAACUGAUUUUAAUUAUAAAUAAAAAUGUUUCUUGGAGUUUUUGGAUCACUGGGGUCAGGCUCCUACUACAAAAAUAGAGUUCUGGUCACUUGAAUCUUUUCCUCGCAUUGGAGAUUUAACAUAUAGUUGUAGACCCUCAAUUUUGUCCCUUUAGCACAUGUUUUUAAAAUUCGUUUUCAAUGCUUCAAAAUAGUUCCUUGGUGGCCCAUUACUACUCGUACAACUUACCUUUUUUUGAGUCACCUUGGAGACUUUGGUUAAGGGAUUAUCUGACCCUUUAUUGUGACCCUUGGCAGCCCUAACUUAGACUUAGGCUUUUCUUGUUUUUUAGGAUAGCUUUUAGAUACACUUGGCCCAUUCGGAUAUUUUUAGUGUGACUUAUAUGACUUGCAUGUUUGCAUCGCUCGUAGGGCCCAUUUUGUUGUUAAUUUGUUUAUUUUUAUUUUAUUUUAUUUUAUUUUCCUCUUUAUAUUAUUUUCCUUAACUUAUUUAUUUAUUUAUUAUUUUUACCAUUUUCUAAUUUAUUUACCUAUUUAUCUAUUAAUGCAAUUAUUUAACUUCUAAAAUUUCAUGUUUUUGCAAGGAAACUUACUAUUGAAGUUUAAGGAAGGCGGGACUCUCCUUGGAAGGUUUGGGAGAGGAAUUUGAAAUUAUGAAGAUUGCUUUUGAAUUGGAAGAUUUAAAAAAAGGAUAAGGAGAAAAGAAGAGAGAAAAUAGGGGAUUUUUUCCUUUCGGGAACGGAUUUAGGAUUUAGGAGGUGAUAUAUAUAUGUGUGAGAGCUUUUUUGAAGGGAGGAGGAGAUUCUUUCUGGAGCAGCACGCAUUGGAGGAUUUUUUGCGGAGAAGCACAGCAGAAGCAAGAAGAAGAAAAAGGAACGAUUGCAGCCAAGACCAUCCAGGUAUGUUUUGCGACUAUUUACCUAUGCUUUAUCUUAUUCCAUUCUUGAGGAUCCUUUGACGGUUCUGGGUGUUUAUUUUGCUGAUUGGUGUGGACGGAAAGGGCCACAAAUUGCUGUGUUGAAAUUAAAUCUUUGUUUGUUUGGUAUGUUCUUCAUUCUGUUAAUGUCAUUAAUCCCAUCUGAAAAUAAAUUGCAUACAUGUCCAUCUUCGGACUGGAUGGUAGAAACCACUCCCUUUUUUUAUUCAAAUCUUAUUCUGAAUCACUCCCCUAUUAUGAGCUAAUAGAUUGAAAUGUAAAAUUGUGACUUUUGCUGGUCUUCUCCUCUUUCCAUACGUUUUGUUGUUUUCUUCUAUUUUGGCCCAUACCUCAACAAGCUCUAUUCCCGGUCUUCAAGAUUUGGUCUCUGUUUUGGAAUUAAAAAUUGAAAAAAAAAAAAAAAAGGAUACUCUUUUCCUGCAUCAAGAGCUCUCACAGAGGAUGUGUCAGAAUCUGAAAAACAAUCUGGGUCGUCUCCCUUCAGUAGCAAUUCGAAUUAGUUCUACGGAGGCUGCAUAUAAGGGCAAAAGUUGAGGAUGAGCAUUCGAGUGUGUUGAUUCUGGUGCUUGAUAUGUUGGCUAAGGCCUAUGUUAGGGUUGGUAUGUUUGAUGAAGCCAAUGAUGCUCUGUUUCAAACAAGAAGACAAGGGUUUGUUCCUCAUAUAAUGUCUUGCAAUUUUUUUUGAUGAAUCGCUUGAUUGAAUAUGGGAAGAUUGAUAUGGGGGUGACUCCAAGGUUUGGGAAGGCAGUCACAAGUUUUAGUACGGGCAUUAAACGCUCCAAAAUUCUGGAAUUGCUAUCACAACAUGGGAUCUAGAGAGGAUUGUCCAAGUGGCUUAUCGACUGUUUAUGCACCCAUUAAAUCUGGGUACUGUAAUACAGAUUUGAAGGUUCAUACGGGGAUCAGAGAUGUGGCUCCUCCGGAUCCGAAUAUUCCAAGGUUUACAUGUUUAUGUGCUCGCUAAGCUUGAUUACAAUGAUGUAAGUUUGUGGUUUGAUGUGGUGGUUAGAGAUAUGGUUUCUGGAAAUUUGAUUACUCCAGGGUAUCUACACGAAAGGAAGAGUGAGGAGCAUGGGAGUUGUUUGAAGAAAUGCCUACGAGAAGGAGCUUGAUUCCACCAUUAAGAAAAUCUAUAGUUUUAUAAGGGUAUUGUUCAGAAGCGUGCUGUUAUCACGAAACAGGGGGGAGAAAUCCAUAUAUUCGGCGAAGAGAGAAGAAACAGAGAACACGCAUUGAGAGGAGAGAGAUAGAUGGGCAGAUUCAAGUUUGGGAGCAAAUUCCUCGGUUCAAGAAAGGUGUAGUGACCGGAAACCUAGCAAUUGGAGAAGAGAUCAUGCAGCCACAAUUUCGUGAAGGCAAAAAGAUACAACAUGGGUGAGAAGCUCUAAAUUGUUCUCUGCGGAAGUACCAGCGGUUCAAGUAAAAUUAGAAAGAUAAGCAGUUCUGGGUUCCUAGCCAUCAUCUGCCCUUGCUUAUGUCUCAAUCAUACUUUAUCUCUAUGCUUUUCCACAACAUCAAAUUCUGCUGCCUUUCUUAAUGUUGGUUUGGAGUUGCUUGGGUUCAGGGAUCUGCACUUGUCCUAGAUGUUUAACUUGAGGAUAGAUAUUAUGAAGAACCUAACUUAAACAGUGGAGGAUCUUGUCAAAUGAAGGUUCCUAAUUUGCUCCCAUUUGUUUGAGGUGUCUUAAUUGAGGUUUGCUGGAAUCAGCACGUGGCCAAUUUUCAUGGCUGAUUUCCUACUGAUUUAUGGUUCAGGUUUGAAACCUGGUUUUGAUUUCAGUUGAUUAAAGCUAUUUGACAAUGACCACUGCAAACGACUUGUGGCUGUAAAGUUUGAGUUAUUUCGGUGUCCGUGUGAUGAUGUGAUUGCAGUGGAAGUGCUCAGAUCAGAGCUCAGUAGAAGAUCAUUGGCAGCUGAGCCUAAUAAGGAAUUCAAUCGGAAUGUUAACAUUGAGAUUUUCAAGAAAAGGAAGGUUCGCUGUUAAAACAGAGUGGAUAUCAGAAUGACCAAGAAUACGGAACUGAUAUUUCAGUAGGUUCUACUCGUUGCCCUCACGGACUAGUCCAGCAGUUUGCUUCCCUUGAUAACUUGAUCUAGCUGGCUAAGACUGAGAUACAAACUCCAUCUUUCCAAGGACAGAGUCUUGCAAAAGGGAAAAAGGAUUGCCCUUCGUUGUCUACAACAUUCUCAGUUGUGAGAGAGCAAAACAUGAAGUGAGAAUGGUUGUAAUGUUUGUGAAGCAAGAACUACCCAUCUCUGGACCGCAAAGGGCUCUAAGAAAUUCAAAGAGAAAAUUCAGUUACAGCAACUUCAAGGAACACUCUGGCAGUAAAGGAACUUUGCGGAAGGAAGCCCUUAAUAAGUAACCGAAUCCUAUGGUAAAGCAUGGCUUACGUCCCGGUACUUUGAAGAGCAGACUGUUUAAUAUUUUACCGAAUAAAAGAAGUAACGGUAUGAAAGUUCCAGACUUGGCAAUGUGUGUGCAGAUUUCUGAAUUGAAUCUUGAUGGUACGAUUGAGGAGCCGGAAUUUCUAAACAUAUUCUGCUCUUUGAAGUGACAUUACUUUAUAUGAAAAGAUUUCUAACUCUUCAUAUCGUCCAUGCAUUACUCCUCACACAAAUGUGGCUGCAAAUUUUCAAUCAUCAGACAUUGAUGACUCUGGGAGCAUUGACUAAGGACAGCAGAGAAUACAGCAGUAGUGAUAAUUCUGACUCUGAUUUAGGAACUUCCAAUUUAAACCAUUAUAAACAGAGAAAUGGCGUGUUGGAUAUAUAUGAAUCGAUAAGGUUUAUCCGGGAGAAGCAUGGUUGUUAGGAUUGAUGGAGGGUGAAAUUCGGAUUUAAGCAUCGAAGAGAAACCCGUAACUAGAGUAUUUCUAGAAACUUAACUGAAUAGCCCAGGUUUGGAUCCGGAGCUGGCAAUCUGAUGAUUCCAAGGAUGGGACUGUGGCACUCAUAAAGUUGUGACGAGAGUUUGUUGAAUUCAACGAGGGUGGCAAACAAAUUGAUGCUGAUGUUCAAAAGCGUAUCUCUGGUAGUCACGCUACUGCAUAUGUGACGACUUCGAUAGAGGAUAGUGAGCUGAUUAAUAAGAAAACCCUUCACCCAAAAUGUUUGGGAAACAUCCCUGCUAUUGAGAUGAGCUGAGCACCUCUCCGAGAAGUGGCUAUGUAUCAUGCUAAGUUGGCUGCCCGAAUUGAAUUAUUUUAGGAUCAGCAAAUAAAUAAAUAGAAUAAAGGCUCAAUGAAGAAACUUUUCCUCAAGAGCAUCCAGAAAUGCAGAUUAUCAAUGAUGUUGAUCGGGACAGAAAGGCUUCAUAAAUUAAUCCAGAAUUUGAAUACGUUGACGACCAUGUUGCUCUUGUAGUUUGUUUCUUUGAGAUGAAGAAGGGCCCUAAUUUCAACCUUUGGAAGCAUUUGAAGAGAACCAGAUUUAUCAAAAGAUGAUAUAGGAGGCAGACAUUGACUAAGUUCUCUGGAACACUUAGAAGUGUAAGUCAGAAUUUCAGCCUUGCUGCAAUAUAUGACGCCGACAUUGCCAACAAUUCCGCCAACCUACAGAAAAUUCCAAUGUUUGAUUUGAAUGCUGAUGAAAAACACAUUGCUUUUGUGAAGCUCUCAGAGAAGCACUGAUUAUUCCAUCUAUUGUACGUGUGUGACAUGAAGUCCAACGACAGAUUUGCUCCUCGAAGAUGCCAUGAUUGAAAUGAGGAUGAUGAUGCUUUGGCUAGUGGGAAUAUUAAAUCAUUAGAAAUCGACUAGGUAAAAGUUUGAUUGAUCUUGCUAUGUUUGAGACAACUUCCAGUGCUAACAGUAUGUAUCAGGCUGAACCUUUCUUCCUAGAGUCCAUUGGGUUGGUGGAUUUUGAAGACGAUUUUACUACUUAUAGUAAGUCGAAGCAAGUCAAAUCCAGCAGUAGUGAUGUUGGGACACAAUGCAAAUCAAUUAGUUCCUUGAAUUUAAACAGCAAAGCUGCAAUCAAAUAUCCACUCUUCCUAAUCCUUUACCAGCACCAAGCAAUUAAUGGAAUGACCAGAACGCAAAAGAUAACCCUCUCUCAGGAAAUGCAAGUCUCAAGAAAUGAGGAACUGCCGACAGAAUUGGAACACACCAGUUGACUCGCUUAGUUUGACAGAACACAUCAGCAAGUUAGCAUCUAACCAACAUGAAUAAGAAUCAGUGGGCUCACUUUACCUUGGUUGUCCUCUUGUUGAUGAUCUCCAAGUAAAUCAGAGGUAGCAAGUCCAGGUAUCAGAGAAUGGGGUAACUCAGCGAAGAGAGCAAGUGAAGAACCUACAGAUUGCCCAAUUACUCACCGAUAUGUUCCGGAUUCUCCAAUAGAAAGUGACAGAAUCAUGAAGCUGCCAGUAGGGGUUCCUGAGGGAGCUGAGAAACCUGCAGAAGAGUAUGAAAACAACAAAGAACUGAUCAUAGAGAAAGAGAGAGACGUCAGGGGGGUUUCCAGCCGUAUCCAUUGAAGUUGAAUCGGUUAAAUAAGAAUGACAUUCUGAGACAAUACUCGCUGAAAAUUCUAGAACGACAAAUUCUGAAGUGCAGACCUGCCCAUUGAUAGAAACUCCAUCUCAAAACCUUCAAACUCAUCCACUACAGACCAGAAUGUGAAAGAAAUCGUUCGAAGCCGGCAUUGGCAUUGGAUGAGCACACUCGGAGAUAAAUUUGAGAGCUGCCCAGAUGGUCUCCAAUCUUGAAGAUCUGAAAAAGAAUUUCACUUCUGAAUGGGAAAAGGGAGAAGAGAGCAUGAAGCAAACUUCGGUUUCCUUUGAGCCAGAGGAUAGAAAGGAUAAAUUCAGAUCAAGGCAAGUGUUGAAAUAGCGGGUUGAAAAUGGCAAGAAAGUGGAAGCAGUCCAGCCAGCUACAUUAGAAAGGGAAGAGGAAUUUAAGAAAAGAUAUGAAAGCUGGAACGAUCUAGAGGUCUUUGAGUUUCAUUAUGGUUCUCAUCAUCCUAGUGCUGGAAUUGCCCCAUCCUAUCUGCUGCGCCUGCCACCAUUCAGUGCAGAGAACCAAAAAUCACAGGGUGGUCAGUUUGACCAUGCUGAUCGCCUUUUCAAUCAUGGUUAAGUGCAGUUGGGAAAGGCAACACAUCAGAUGCGAAGGAAUUAAUUCCAGAAUUCUUUCAUAUGCCAGAGUUCUUGGAAAGUUGUUCCAAUCUUGACCUAGGAGAAAAACAAUCAAGGAAAAAGGUUAGUGAAGUUGUGUUACUUUCCUGGGCCAAAGGCAAUGCCAGAAAGUUUGUCAGGAAGCAUGGUCUUCAAUCUUUAGUCAGAUCAUGCACGAGUUCCUCGUAUAGCAGAAAGGAGAAGCUAAACCCUCUAAGGCGGAACCCCUCACAUGCCAGACAUACCACGAGCUUGUUGUUUUAAUUUAUGACUCAGUUGAAGUUGUUAAUCAGCUUAAACCACAAUAGCAGUGGGGGUCCUUGAGAGAUGUUGAUCCAGUGGAAUUAGAGCUAUAGUUGAAUCUGCUUGUGAGAAGCUUGUCACCUGUCAAAGUAGACCUCUAGAAUUCUAAUAAGUCUCUAUUUCCAUACCAGCGUUUCAGCCUCAAAAGUAGUCCCAAACUCCACUCCAUCACAGCAACCUUGCUAUAGGCAUCAUCUCCCCUACUUGCUUCUUUGAUUGGGAAUUUACUGUUUUAAAUUGAAUUUCAAAACCAUUGUUCAACUAAUCAUUCUCAACUUUGAAAAUUCAUCUUUAGACCUUCUCUAGGCAAUAAAAUCCAGAUUUCAACACCCUUUUGCUGCCAUUUUCCUUCUGGCAUAUAUUUUCAUCAUUUUCAACUAUUUUCAUGAUUUUCACGAUUUUCAACAAGCAUGAAUAAACUUCAUAAUUCCAAAUCAUGGAAUUUAUGGAAUCAACUCAUGCGAAAUUAAUUAGGGCUUUGGUGGGGGCCCGACAUUCAUGAUAUUCUCAUCAAUAUUGUUUACUUGAUAUGUUGAUUCUUUUUCUUCUUGAUGAUAAUCAUGAAUUCGUUUUAUAUCUAUUAUUGAGAUAUCCUUGCUUCCCAUAGAGAUGUGGAUGCUUGCUAAUCAGGUACGCCAUUUCUACCCCACAACCCUAAAAUUCUAUGAAUACGUACGAUAUCAUGAGCCAUGACCAUGUUCGAUACCAUAUUUGAUUGUCUUGAUGUUUGUUUGAUCAUCUUUGAUAAAAUACAUGUAAUGUGUCAUAUUUCCAAACUAAUCUCUUAUGUUUUAUGAUAGCGCUUGAGAAGCUGUUCAGGUACGCACUUCGACUCUCUCUUAGGGUUUGUUUUCUUGUUAGGCAUGCAAUAUUCGAAAUCACCUAGCCUACUUAGGUAUCCAUAAUUAACCGAUUAAUUGCCAUAUUCCCCUUAACUUAAUUAGUAGAGACCUCUUUAGGGCUUAGAGGGGUGCUACCUCCUAGAGGUACCUUCCCAAUAAGUAACCUGAUCCCCGGACUUAGACUCGGGUUUCUCAAAGACAUGCUUUUUCCAAAACUAUGGAGUCACUUUUUAGGGUUUUUCUUUCUUGUUUUAUUUUCCCUUUAAAAUAAAAAUAAAAUAGGUGGCGACUCCAACUUUUUUCAAAAAAUCAAAUUUUCACAAAUAAAUAAAAAGCGAGUCUCGCCGAUCGAGUGGGGACGCACGUGAAAAAUGCGGGUCCACAAUAGUUAUUUCUCGAACUGGUGUGGUACAGAUGCUUCCCUUUUAUGGAUUCAAACAAUAAAUCUCUCUCACUGAUUCAUCUUGCAAUGGCUCAUGCCUCUCACCUAACAUUUGUCAUUCAAGGUGAUCCUUAACCUUGGAUUACCCUUCAAAAGCUCGCAAGAGAUAACAAAUGGAUAUCUCCUUAGAGUCCAAAAGCUUACCAAGUGUUGGCUAUUCUAGAAAAUCCUACCUUUGAACCACCUCCCAAAGACUCGCAAGAGAUAAAUUAGUGUAUCUCAAUGGACGGAGAUCACUUGCCUUACCAAGUGUUGGCCCAGGUGAUUUAAAGGCGUUUUAAGUUAACUAAAAACAUAGAAACCAUUAACGGGUCACACUUUCUCUUCAUUAAAAGCCGAAACAACAAAACUUCCAAUUUUUGCAUUCGGCACCUUACCUAGCUUCCUUAACUCCAAGAGAUAAAAAUUCUAGCCACUCAUUCUCUGAGGAAACAUCCUCAAAGCUUGUUUUGCUAGUAAGAAAAAUACAAUCAAAAUGAGUAGGUAAGGCAGAGCAAAGCUCUGUGUAUUACUUCCUUCAAAACUAUACAAAAAGUUGGUAUCUAAGAACAAGCUCCCCAAGAUGCCUGUGUAAAGAAAAUUACAAACUAUAUAUAAGAGGUUAUUCACCCUUUGUUCUUACUUAUUAACUAAGGAAUCCUAUGAUUGGUGGAUUACAAGGAGAAAAUGGGGAUUUAAACAACAAAUAUCUGAAGUAAAAAUCUAAAAAAGUCGGUCGCAAAUAUCUGGAAGCACUCAGGUGGAUUUUGCAGCAUGCAACAUGGGCUACGAAAUUUCACAAGCUGAAAGUCUCCAUUUCGCACAAAAAGGUUGAUUUCGCAACUAGCAUAUUGUGAUUUCGCAGCUGCGAAAUUGCCUUUCAACUUGGUGCGAUUUGCUUCCAAUGGCCAUAACUUUUUCAUUUUAGCUCUAAUUUGUGCACUGUUUAAAGCGUUGGACUCCUGACUUCCCAAGCUUCGAAACGACAUAUAGUAUGCAUGAAAUGGACUCCAGGAAGUGCUCGAAAUAUGUCCAAGAAUUGCUAUCCUCUUGAAUUUCUUCAUGUUAGAUUUCUCUCUUUGUUUCUCCUCCUUGCAUUCAUGAUUUGCUUUUGGCAAAGGACUAUAAAGCUCUAAAGCUUGGAUUCUUCAUGUAAAUGAGCUUCCCUUUGCUUUGCCAAAGAUUAUAUAAAACUCUCCUCAAUCUUGGAUUGCUUUGGUGAUCAAAAAGCUAUCAAAAACACCAAGAUUAACACAAUUUGAUUAGAAAAUAUUGCAAGGGUCCUUAACAUGCCAAUUGAGUUAAAAGGUAAUAACUACUACUCAAAAGUGUUUAAAAAAGUUAAUUACAAGCUAUAAAAUAACACUUUUUGAGUAGUAAUCACUCCUCUAGGAAGCAUAGGGACAACAAACUAGCUCGAUCUGGAGAUGGAUGAGUAAUCGCCAUAGAAACAGAAGUGUCAGGAGCCCCAUCACUCAACUGUAACUAGUGAAAUAGAUACUGAAGCUCAAUCUCUCUAUCUGUAUGAACCACAUUGUCAAUCUCCUCUAGACGAGGUCAAAUCUCUGAUCAUUUGACAAAGUAGUUGGCCAAACUCAUCCUAAAAGGUCGAAUAUGAUAAUCAAAUGGUGUGUGAGACAAUCGAGCCUUCACUCUUUCCUUGUGCAGUUGCGCCAUGUAUUGGUAAUCGACUUCAGUAGGAAUGAACCCAAGUCCAAAUGUCGUAUCAUGGUCAAUAACAGUUAUAAACUCACUGGGUCCCUACUAACGUCGUCCUAACCUCAUACCAGGUAGAAAAGUCAUACCCCUCAUUAUAUCAAGAACCACUGUACUAUUGUGUUGAUCAAAUGACAAAGCUACAAAAUCUCUACAAAAAUCUUCAAUCUCAAGAGUCUGUAUCUCAUCAAAAGUAAACCCAGUUAGAAAUAGGUCAUCUUCACUGUGACUGAUUUGAAGUACUGGCUCGGAAGAGGAAAACAUAUCUCUAGUAAACUGUACCAUGAUGACCUGCCCUUCAUGAAUGAACUUCACCUUCUAAUGAAGGGAAUAAGGAAUAACUUCAGCUCUAUGUAUCCAAUGUCAACCUAAUAGCAAGUUAAAGGAUGUAGGAAUCCUUAAAACCUGGAACAAAGUAGAAAAUGUGACUGGACCAAUCAAUAAAUCAAUCACCAAGGUAUUAAUGACCUCCCUCUUAGUGCUAUCAUACGUUCUAACUAUCUGAGUAGAAGGACCAAAUUCUGAAGGUGUGAAACCAAGGGCUAUAGUAGUGGCUAAAGGGCAGACAUUCAGGGUUGAGCCAUUGUCCAACAUGAUAGAUGAAACUCUGUGGGCUGAAUAACCAACAGUGAUAUAUAGAGGGCGUAUGUGGUCUAAACCCUCAAGUGGAAAAUUGUUAUCUGAAAACACAAUGCAAGUGGCCCUAUUGGCCAUCAUCAUAUGAAUCAACCUCGCUAGAGUGGUGACAGUCUCUACCUUGAUCUAACUCAAGGCUCGAAUCAAAGCAUCUCUAUGAGUACUGGAUGAUGCUAAUAAACUCCAAAUAGAAAUACAAGUUUGGGCGCUCUGUAACUGUCUUAAAACCUCAUCAUCCUCUUUCCUAACCUCCUCACGAGGGGUUGCACCCUCAAAUGGUCUAACUGCUGGUGGUGGUGGUUGAGCUAUCCUCCCACUAUGAGUCGUAAUCUGUAUAUCUCUCCCCUCUAAAUCAUCAUCUUCUUGCCACAAAAUGAACUAGACAAAUGUAUCCUGACGUCUAAUAACCAAAUGUGUAGAAUGAGUCAAUUGGAACAGCGCGCCAUCUAGAAUCAAACUUAAUGGUGUGGAAACCUGAGGACCCAAUGAAAUCCCAUCAACCUCACUACUAUCAUACAAAACAAUCGACUCGGGUAAUCCAUCAUCCCAACUCAACAUAUGUAUAAUGUCAUCCUCUAUAAGGUCUAUGUGAUGUAUAUCUACUAGAGGUAGAGACACUGUAUGUGUAGAAUAGGCAGGAAGAAGGUUAAUGGUUACAGUUGGUUGUCCCAAGUUAACCAAACCCUGGUCUAUCAAAUCCUGAAUAGCAUGUCUCAGAGCGUUGCAGUGAUCCAUGUCAUGCCCUGGUCCCUGAUGAUAAGAACAAUGUAGGUCUAAUCUGAAAUGAGGCGGCACUGGCUGGGAUACUGGCUUUGAUGCCAAUAGAGUCAAUAAUCCACCCUUCAUGAACUUCCGAAAAGCUCGACUCAAAGGCAUACCCAACUGAGCAAACUAAUGUGAUGGCCUCUGCACAAAAGUAGUGGUCUACGGAGAUCAAGGUCGAGUGUAUGAGGCAUGAGGUCUCUCUAUGACAUGUGCAGCAAAAAUGGGUUGUGAGACUAGAUGUAGAUAAGUAAGAGUCAUGGGUCUAGAGGGAGUAGGUGGUUUAUACUACAUAUGAGGUGAUGGUAGGCAGUAGAAUCCAGAAGUCUGCCCAAUUGUCUGAUAGCAUCUAAAAGGUCUCAUCCCUAUUGAACUAAUAGCACCAACAUCUCCUAAUCUCUACCAUCCUAAAGGUUUCUUCCCCUUAGAGUUGGUAGAGGAAUACUCGAGCCAUAAACCUCUAGUUAUACCCUCCUCUAUACCAUAUAAGGCCUGUAAUAAAGAUCCAAAAUCCGUAUGAGGAAAUCUCAUCAAGUGCCUAGCAAACUUAGGUUGCAAGCUCCUCAUGAUCAUACUAAUCUGCUCAUUCUUUGAAGAACGAUCAAUAAUCUCUGAAAUCUUCUCCCUCUAGCGAGAGAUAAAAGAGGUGAUUGACUCCUUUAGCCUCUGUCUCAAAGCCUCUAACUCUCUCCUCGAAACAUCAAUGACAGUGUUAAACGCAAACUGUCUCAAAAACUCCUGGGUUAGAUCAUCCCAAGUUCGUCGGCGUGAUCCAUCCAUGAAACAAACCAACGCUGUGUUGCACCACUCAGGGAGAAAAGAAAAACCAUUUAGGCUUCAUCCAGUCCAUGGGCCCUCAUAACCAUACUGUAAAGCCUCAAAUGGAUACGAGGACAGCCUAUGCUCGUGUAUCUCUCAAUCUCAGGCAUCCUAAACUUGGCUGGUAAACUGGCCACUAGUGCUCCAUCAAAAUCCUCCCAAGUAAUAGCUCUAUCUGAAGUGCUCAUAUGUCUCAUCCUCUACUCAAGUCUAUCCAUACGAGCAUGUGGGUCCUUCUGAGAUCGGGGUAGGCAGUAUGAUAGGAGGUGGGGAAACCUCAGUCUGAUUAUGCAAAGUAAAUGGUAUAGGUUGCGAGGCUAACUAACUGGGUGGAGGGGGUAAUGGUACUAUAGGGUCGUACGGGGUACCCUCUUGAAUCCCAACCUAUUGGGUCUGCUGCCCAUCUAUCAUCUGACCAAGGUUAACUAUAGCCUCCUAGAUCGAAGCCAUGGUUGCAGCAAACUGGUCAACGGUAACUAUCUAUGAGUACAUAUCUCUUUGAUCUGAUCUCUAGUCUGAUUGGUCUGAUACUCUGGUCAAUCUACCUCCAACUCUAAUCGAUGAAAGCGAAUCCAACUUGAUUAUGGUAAACCCUCCUACAAAUAUGGAAACACUAGAUAAGGUGCAAUUUGAAGGUGACUCUGCAAGAAUGAACUGAAUAGUGCGCAGAAAUAUAGACCAAAUAUACUCAAUCUGAUAUCCAUUCCUGAUCACACCAAAAAGAGACUAUAGAGAGGUUAAUCGAACCCAAUUGUGACCUUGGCAUCUCUGAAGGUCCAUAGAUGCACCCACGUGUAGGAAUGAAAUCUUAAUUGGGUCUAAGCUAGCCUACAAGGUUGAGGUGGCUCUAUAAGAUAAAAUGGGUGGGUUAAAGGAUCCCUAACAUAAGCGAUCUGACAGUACGCAACCCUCUGCACGCCUCCAAGGAAACGGGGUGCUUCCAUGCAAGGUGGUCAUCACCUCUACACAUGCACUUCCUUGUUUUCCCAAGGGGUUUCUUAAUGGUGAAAGCUCUCUCAUAUCUCAACACUCAGGGUAUAAUCUAAAGUACGCGGUGAAGGAUGUGAGUGCAUCCGAAAAACCUAAGAUCUAAAGUGAGAUAGUAAACAAAGACAAGUAAUCAUACAAUCAUGUAGGAGCAAGAGUUGUCAUGAAACAAGCAGUCAUACCAAGAAAAUAGGCAUCAUACAAUCAAAGUCCUAUCUAUCAUAUGUGAAAAUGAAUCAUGCUAAAGUGAAUAAAGCAGUCAUGUGAUCAUGCAAGAUAAACAAGUAUAAAGAUAUGUUAAGAUAGCAAACCAAUCAAGCAAGCAAACUAAAUCACCUUGCAUAAAAAAAUGAGAUACACUCUAAUCGACCAAUUAAACGCCACAUUUUCCUCAACUAGUGUUCAAGCUUGAUCCUCAAAAUCCCUAGUGAAGUCACCAAUUUAUGGGCCCGCACGUGAAAAUUUUUCACGUGCGUCCCCACUCAAUGGCAAGACUUAUUUUUAUUGGUGAAAAAUUAGUUUUGGAAAAGUCGGAGUCAACACUUAUUUUAUUUUAUUUUGAAAAGGAAAAUAAAACAAGAAAGAAAACCCUAAAGAAACAACUCCAUAUUUUUUAGACAAGUGUGCCUUUGAAAAACCUGAGUCUAGGUCUGGGGAUCAUGUUACCUAUUAGGAAGGUACCUCUAAAAGGUACCACCCUUCUAAGCCCUACAAAGGUCUCUAUUGACUAAGUUAAGGGAAAUAAAGCAAUUAACUGGUUGAUUAUAGAUACUUAGGUAGGUUAGGUGAUUUAAAAAAAAUAGCAUGCCAAACAAGAAAAACGAAUCAUAAUCAUAAAGAAGAUUUAGGGUGUGUACCUUAACUGCUUCUCAAGUGCUAUCAUAAAACAUCAAAGUUAGUAUAGAAAUAUAGCACACAACAUGAGUUUUAUCCAAGAAAAUCAAGCAUACAUCUAAGCACCUAAGGAUCACAUCAAGCAUAAAUAAGGUUAACAACAACAUGCAUGUUCAUAGAAUUCCGAAAAAUAAGUGAUAAAGAGCAUACCUGGAUAGCAUGCAUAAUUUAUAAGAUUCCUAAAAAAAACUAGAGUGGUUAGGACAAGUACAUAUUAUAUAACAUCUUUAUUAUGUCUAAUAUACAAUACUAAAGCCAAAAUUGAGCUAAAAUUAAUCAAAUGACUCCAAAAAUAAUAACAAUUCCAAAUAAAGUAUAAAACCAUCAGCAUGCACUUAGAAAAGAAAGCAUCACAAAACAAUUUAUGAAGAAUAUCUUGGAGUGGAAUUUAACUACAAAAAAAAAAAAUUCAAGAAACAACUCCUAUACAUCUAGAACAAAAUACCAAAAACCAAGCACUCAUUUAAAUGGAAAAUUGCAGCAAAGACACCCAAAAGUUCUAGAAUGUCCAGAUUAGGUAAAAAAAUAGUGACAUGCAUAAACAAAUUUAUUAAAAAUAAUAAAAGAUCACAUAAAAUCAUAUAAAAUAAAAUAAAAUCACACGCAUCGUUCAAAAUGUCUAUAUCAUAGAAAAAAUAAAUCUAGGGUCAAGGAGUACUAAAAAUAUUUUUAAAACACUCCAACUAAUCUAAUCUCUAGAUUCCAUUAUGUACAGUACGUAUGAUUUUGAAAAAUCAUAUCUUCCUCAAAAAUGCAUAUUUUUUAAUAUUUUAUAUGUCUAAGAUCAAUUCAAGAAGUCUAGAAUUAAGAAAAAAUAUAGAAUCAAAUUUAAAAAGUCAUUUGUUAUUUUAUUUUAAAUUUAUAGGAAGAUUUCGAGUGUCUAGAAUUGGUUGAAAACAGAGCCCCCUUAAAGAAUCGUUUAUUCUUCUAUUCCAUAAUUGCUUUUUAACACAAACGAAAUUUUAAAUUUAAGUUCAAGAAAUGAGAAAAAUCAUACAAGUUUUGGAAAUUUUUUUAAAAUAUUCCAAAGUUGCUAAAACGAAUUUUAAAUCUAGAAAGCCAGCGGUUGAAUGAAAACUGGCAGCAUGGAAGGGUUUUGAAAAAUUUUCUUAUGCAGGGGUUCCAUCAAGUCCCAAAUUACUUUUGCAUGAGUUGGUUCAAUGAAUUCCAUUAUUUGGCAUUAUGAAGUUUGUUCAUGCUUGUUGAAAAUCAAAUAAAAACAAGAGAAUAGUUGAAAAUCAAAUAAAAUAGUGAGAAUGCAUGCCAUGAGGGAAAAUGACAGCAAAAGGUUUCUUGAAAUCUGAAUUUUUGAUGAAUCUAGAAACUCUUUAAGGAUGAAAUUUGAAGAAAACUAGAAUCGUUUAACAAAACAAAGAAAUAGGAGGAUGGUGUAACUGCCUUUGAGAAUGAGUGAAUGGUGCAUGUAGGUAAGGUCGUUUGUGGAGGCUGGCUGAUUCUAUAUUACGCAUGUUGCAUGCUGUAACAUGGCUUCAAAGAGGAUGCAACCCACCCUGUUUUCAAUCCUUGAUGCGGCUGUUCGUGGGGUCCAUUCAUAGAAGCAGUAGAGUUGUAAAUUCUUUUUGAGUUGUGUGCUGAAAUUGAAUUCCAAAUGCAUUUUGUCCCAUGUAGCAUUGUUGAUUGCAUGAAAGAUGAUAGCAUGUCUAUCCAUAUGCAAACUGUUAACCCUUUUAUGCAUAGACUUUCACAAAGUGCUCAGAGCAAUAAACUGCUAAUGCUAUGGGGUAUAGUCCCAUCAAUUUAAUUUCCUCAAAGGCAUCUGAAAGUGUUAUUGACCUGCAUAAAUGCACCAUUUUUUUUUCAUUUCGCGACAUGCAUGAACUCCACAUCAACGAGUUCACAAUUUUAUUUUUUUUUAUCAUCGACAAUCCACACAGAUAGCUUAGGCUUCUCAAACUCCUCAGUGUGGGCAUGUUAUGCACAAUGGAAUCUCUGGUUUUAGAUUGGAAUUGGGGUGUUGUUCCUGUUCUCUUUCCAAUAACAGUAUCACUUAGAGACCAUGGCUGUGAAGUUGAGGUUAGUGAUUGAGAUUGGAGAAUGAAGAAAGAUGGUCAUGCAUGGCAAUGAAAAAGUGAGAGUCUAGCACUCACGUGUCACCCAAUAAGAAUUCUAUGCUUAGAGAUCGGUACCUCGUGGAUGAACUUGGGGCUAAGACGCAAUAUACCUAGACCAUUCUGAAAAACAUCACAAAUAUACCCAACAUAUGGAUGUGAUUAGCCAUCAUCUCCAGGAUUUCCUAAGCUCGGGUUAUACGUUCUCUAGGAAGAUGCAUGUAAUGGGUAUGACGGACGAAAUAGAUAACCCCAAAUGUUGACCAGUCCAUUCAUCAAGAAAAACAUGUUCAACAAAUAACUCAACUACCAACCAAGUGUUUACAACAAAGGGUAAAGGCGAUGAAGAAUAGAGAUUGGGAGAUUUAAAAAAAAAAACAUCCACAUGAGGAUAGAAUGACACUCAAGCAUGAUAAGGUCAAUGAAACUGUAGCAGGAUAGCCUCCCAUAAAUGAGAAUGUGACCUAUAUCAAAACAGAUUACAUUAUCACAUAAUUACGAAAGUAAAUUCCCAAAAAGCAGUCUCAUGGAUAGCUUUCUCCUCAACUUCCUGAUGAAUUUACAUCUAAGCAAUUUACAGCUAUCCUUGGGUUCGGUUUAGCAUUAUCUGAAGAUCUUGGCACUUACCCGCUAGGUUCCUCAUCCAAGUUCCCAAAAUCAAAAUGUGGAAGUCAAAAUCAAGGGACCCAGACCACAAGAAAAAAUGUAUCAAAACAGAGAGAUGGUGAUGAUGCUAUUACCUUUUUUUUUUUUUAUCUCUAUCCAUUAUGUAAAAAUGGCCAAUCUCUUCUAACAAACAAAUGUGUUUUGGUAGGCUCCUUUCUUUGAUGUGAAGCAAAAACCCAGGGAUGGAGAGUAAAUAGAACAGGAAAAAAAAAACUCUAGAAAACAAGGAGAAGAUCAAGGUUGUAAUUAACAAAACAAACAAAAGAAGAAAAUUUUAAUAUCAAAUGCCAUUUCACGAGUAAUCCAUAUGCUUAAAGGGGUGGUAGAGGGAAAUAAAAGAAAAAAAAUCUAAACAAAAUAACAAAAGUAUGAUUUCUAAGGCGUAGUGCAAUUAAAAUGAAAUCAGAUCAUCCUCAUACUAAAUAUAACGAGCAAGAGAUGGAUAAUCAACAUUCAAAAUCACCAGUAACCUAACAAACGACAUCCAAACACAGUAAAGAAUGAAAGGGAAUGGUGUAGAAGGGAGAGAGUUUGAAAACCAUGCAACAAGUAAUCCAUACCCAAACCAUAACAAGAAUUUAAAAAAAAAAUGAUCUUUAGCAUUAAUACACAAAUCCGGAGGGUUGAAAAGAAAUGUAUAGGCAGCCAUGAGGAUCAUACCUAAAAGUCAUUUUCUGUUUCCCCAAAGACUAACAAACUCCUCUUCUCUUUGACCAAACCUGAUAACCCAGAUGAACUCCCUCUCUCUUUCCAAUGUGUGUUGAAAAAAAUCUUUUUUUUUUUUAAACCUCUUUUUCUAUCUCUUCGCCUCCUCCAAAACCCAUUUACAUGUUCUUUUUAUAACAAUUGGCAGUUGUUCUACGUCAGGAGUCUUCCUCUCUCCAAAUUCCCUGUCUCAUCUACCAGAAAAAUCUCUUUUAAAUUUCAAAAAACCAAUCCAUGCAUAUCACCUAAAGAGUCCUACCUUUUCCAAAAACUUCUCAAUUGGUAGAUUUUUCUAUAAAAACUUCAAAUUAUAAAAUUAAAUAAUUGAAUAAAUAAAUAAAUAGAAGAAUGAUAAAAUAAUAAUAAUAAAUGAACAAAUAACACGAUAAUAAACAAACAAAUAAAUAAUAAUAAAAUAACUAAAUAAAUAAAAGUGAUUGAUAACAAUAUAAAUAAAUAAAAAUAUAAUAAAUGAUUAAAUAAAGAUGAUUGAUAAUAAUAAUAAUAAAAAAUAUAAAUAAAUAAAUAAGUAAAUGAAAUAAAUGAGUCAUGCAACCAUACAAGUCACGCUAAGAAUGUCUAAUGGUCCAAGUGUGCCUAAGUGGGCCUAAGUGAACCUAUAUGGGCCUAAGGUAUCUAAAUGGGCCUAAGGUGGUGCCUAAUAGGCCGAGUAUACCUAUACGGGCCUAGGGUGAGACUGGGUGAGCCUAACUAAGUUUAACCUAAAGUGGACCUAAGUGAAGUCUAAUCUAAACUUGAAGGGCAACUAAGGUCAUAAUGUGGAGCCGAAUAAACCCCUCAACCAAAGUCUCCAAAGUGGCUCAGAAAAGAUAAACUAUAUGAGUAGUAAUGGGUAAAAAAAAAAACUACUGUGGAGCAUUGGAAGUGAACUUAAAGACAUGUGCUAAAAGAACAAAAUAGAGGGUUUGCAAAAAGACUUGGAAGGAAUAGUGACAAAAUAGUACAUAGUUCAUAGUUUAAAAGAUAUAUAAACUUUAGAAGACAUUUUCAUUUUGGGUGAAGACUUUGAAACCUAAAUGAAAACAGCUUUGUCAUGAAAGGUUGAAAGAAAAUUUUUUACAAAGUCAAGAAGAAAAAUUAGUGCAUGUUUGGUUGUUGUUUUUAAAAACUAUUCUGAAAAAUUUGUUUUUAAGAAUAAUUUUUGGGGUUUUCGGAAAAAAUAAAAAUGUUUGAUUGAGUUAAUAAAAAAAGUUUUUUAUACUAAGUAAAAAACAUGUUAGAAAGUUUUUUUUUCACUCCAUUUCCCCUCUCUUUCCUCUACAUUUUCCUCAUAUUCCCUUCAUCUAAACAUCGUUUUCUUUUUCUCAUCCCAUUUAAUUAAAUAUUUAUUUCCUUGUUUUCUUCUUUCUCCUCUCUCAUUCUAGUCCACAGUUACUACCGACACCCCCUACCAUCCAACAACGUCGUCAUCUCCGGAAACUACAACAUUUUCCUUCCUCUUCCAUACCCACAGCCCGUCACACCAUUUAUCCAUUUUUUUUCUCUACAUUUUCCUCAUUUUCUCCAUCCAAACAUCAUUUUCUUUUUCUCAUCCUAAUUUAAAUAAAUAUUUCUCUUUUUUUUUUCUUUUUUCUCCUCUCCCAUUCUAGUCCACGGUUAUCAUCUACACCCCCUACUAUCCAAAAUGCUAUCAUUGCUGCCAUUUUCGAAAACACAAAAAACAUGAAAAGAAAACACGAAGAGCAAGUGUUCUCUUAACAAUGAAAAAAACAACCAAAACACCUUUUUUUGUUUUCUAAAAAGAAACCUUUUGAGAACACGGAAAACACAAAAAACAAAAAUCAUCCAUUUUCCCAAACACGUUUUCACUAUUUUUGGUUUUCAAGAGCAAAAAACAGUUCUUGAAAACAGUAACCAAACAAGCUUAACAUCUAAUAACUCAACAAGCUAAAAAAAAAAUUGCCUCCAUUGUUUAUUCAUUAUUAAAAGGUCAAAUGAAUAUUGAAAUUCAUUAACAAAUUUUCAUCUUAGAUAUUUUGACUUGGCUAUGGUAGAUAAUCUUCAUGUGAUAUCCAAGUGUAACAUCAAACUAAGAAAUGCAAGAGAACAAUUUUAUCUAAUAUAAAAAAUAAAUUAAAAAAAAAAACAAAAGGAUGUACAAUAAGUUAUUAAAUCAAAAGUUAGUUGAAAACGAUAUUUGUACUAACAAAUUUAGUAUUGUCACAAACUAUUUUUUGUCUAACUCCAAAGAGUGGUCAUACUACCAAUAAUAAAAAAGAGAAAAAGAAUAGUUAACAUCAACUAGUAAAACAAAUAGAAAAAUCUUACAUAAAAUAAGGGAUUGAAGUUGAUCUUUUCUAUGAACUAUUGACAAUAGAUCUAGAGCAUGUUUAUUUAGAAAAAUUGAAAAUAAAUGUAAGGCUUUGACCAUUCCAUUGGAAAAUGUAAGUAGGAAAAUAUGUAAGCAAUUGUCAUGGUACAAGUGACAAGGCUACAUGAAUAUUUGCAAAAAAUAAUCUCCAAAUAUAAAUCAAUUAUGGAUAAACUCAAAAAAAAUAAACACAUGAAAGGAGUGUGGGUAUACCAAACUAGUCAAAGAUGGUUGUUAGUGUUAGCCCAAGGGUUCUCCUAACCAGGUUUUGAUGAUAACAAACCAUGGUUAAGUAACUAAUUGGUUUAAUGUUUAAGAAUCUCAGGUAUAAACUCGAAAAUUCAUCAAAUGACCAAAUGGAUACAAGAUCGAGACGCUUGGAAGACUUGAGAUCAUAGGAAACUAAUGUAAGAUGAAUGCAUGAGUGCACUUAGGAUUUUCAUAUGUUUUCAUGCAUCUUAGAAAACUCGGUUUAUUCCUUAAAACGUCGACUUCAUUAAAACCCGAGUCUUUAACUAAUUUACCUUAGGCAAAAUGUUUCAAAAUUGGCUUGAUAAUUUACCUAAAGACCUUGCCUAAGUGUUAGAAAAGAAAGGAAUAAAAAAAAAAUAGGUUUUUCGGGGCCAAAAAGGCUCAACCGGUCGAGGCUAAGGCCAACCGGUCAACCGGUUGAGGAACCGGUCUACCGGCUGAGGUCGUCCGGUCGAGGAAGGUUAAAAACCUUCUCUCUCUCCCAGUAGCCUUCUCUUCCCGGUCGAGGUGAUUCCUUUACCAGUCGAGGUCCGAUCGAGGCAACGGUAACCUGUCAUGCAUUAAAUGCUCCAACAGCUAGUGAACCGAUCGACCCUUUGCUCGUCCGGUCGAGGCUACUUUCUGCUGUUUUUGUCUCCCGAGCUUAGAAACUUAUAAAUAGAGAGCUCCACUUCAUUUAUGACUAAGAGAACUUUUACAAUCAAUUGUCUACCUACCUGUUUUUUAUCAAAAAGCUCUCAUUUCUUUCUUAGUGCAUUAAACCAUCACUUGCAUAUUCUUAGUGCACUCUUGUAAAUCAUCCUAGCUUUCUCUUGUACUUGAGCCAUCCUUAAGCUAGGUUGAGAGUUUCAUCUUUGUGUAAAUUGAGUGUGAAAGCCUUCAAGUGGUUCAAAUCUUGAAGAGAUUGUGUAAAAGCCCAUUGGAGCCGGAAUCCAAGUGUAAGAAGAUUGAAAGCUUGAUUGAAGCUUCAAGUUAGUGGAACCCUCACUCGGUUAGGAGAUUGAGGAGAGUGGACGUAGGCAAGGGAGUGUUGAACCACUAUAAACCCGAGUUUGAAUUCUCUAACUUUAUCUCUUUCCUUUAUUUAUUUUGUGCAUAUAUUAUUGUGUGGAAAAAGAUUUUGAAAAACCCAAUUCACCCCCCCCCCCUCCCUUUUGGGUAUUUUCCUUAAUUAUUCAUAGCCUUUGUUUUAUCAGUUAGAUAUGGUAGAGAGAUGAACUAUACCCAAAAAUGGUUGAUUGAUGGCAGAGUGAAGGUUUUAGAGUGAAUGUGGUGAUGACUAUGAGCUCCAAAAAUGGUUGAUUAAUGGUAGUGUGUGGGUUUGAGAAUGAGUAGAAGGGAGAUAAGUUACUUUUGGUGGAUUUGAGAAUGACAUAACAAAAGGGAGAUAUUAUGGAUUUGUAAGAUUUUGGGAUUUUUUUUUAGGAAGUGGAAAGGUUAGGGCUUCAAAAGAUGUAAAGAUUUUGAGAAUGAGAUGAAGAAGAUGAGAGGUUAAGUUUUCGUUAGAUUUUUGGGAGUGUUUUUUCUCUUUUCUUUAUUCACAUAUGGGAAACUUAACUGGUAAGGUAGAUGACAUUUUUAGAAUCCAAAUACAAAUAAGCUAAAAGUGCAUGAAGUUCCAAAUAUUUUACAAUUACAUUGUAAACAUAGAAAUACACAAAUAUGGAUUCCCAUUUUUUUUAAAUAUUUUCAUGUCAUCAUAUGGAAACAUACGUUUCCCUAUUAUUUUUAGCAAAGAUAGAUCCUCCUAUUGUGUGUUCAACUAACAUGUCUUAACUUUCAAAGAGUCUAUGUCAAGUUCCACUUAAGAAACUACUAUGACCAUAGUUUUCAUUAACACACCUCAUUAGGAUCACCCAAUGGGACACUCUGUCUCAAUCCCAUCAGAUAUCAUGGUGUAUCUAUUGAGAAUACCUAUUGCUAUUGGUUUUCAUCAACAAUAACCCGAUCCAUAGAAAAUAUAUGAUCAGCUUACAAUUUCACUUAUAGAUCAAAGUCACUAGUAACUUUAGCACAAGUUCAAUAUUCUUUCAAGGUUAAAAAACAACAUAAUAAAACAAUUUGGUGAGAUCAUGACAUGACUACUUGAUAGCCUUCAGUCAUGACUCACCGUAGGUCCUGUCCAAUGUGUAACCACAUACACCAAUGUACUCACCAUGGGAAAUUCAUCCCUCCAAUUAGGAGGUGGAACACUAUAUCCUCUAAUGAGUUGCCUAAACGCACGAAUCAGUUGUGAACAAGUCAUCGAUUUGUAAAAAAAACCCAUGAAUUUGAUCUUUCAUGCAAUUCCUAAAGUACCCAAAUCAUAUACAAUGUAAAAUAUGCAAAUAAAAAUGCUCAUAAAGUGUAAUGCAUGGAAAAAUGAUAGAUAAAAGUGAAAUUGUAAUACCCCACAUCAAAUAAGGGAAAAGGUUCUUAACCAAUAUAAGUAUAUACUCUUCUUAAUUUUAUAAACACGUUUUAAAGUUAUGAUAACCUAUUAGGCUUAAAACAUAAAAUAUCUAUACAAUUGGAAGCAAAUUGUUACAAAUGAUAUCUAACUUAAUCCUCAAUGCUAAUGUGGACCUAAGUUUUUUUGGUCUCGUAAGGGGUGUCUGUCUACUUGGCCUCACAUAAUCCUAUGGGACAUAAUGAGGAUGUUGUGUUUGCCAAGGGGGUGAUUCUAAUAUCCUACAUCGAAUAUGGUAAAAAGUUCAAAGAGUUAUACAUGUAUGAGUUCUUCUUAACUAUGUAGACACAUUUUAAAGUUAUAAGGAUCUAUUAGGCUUAGAGUGGGUAAAAAGUUCCUAGAGUUAUACAUGUAUGAGCUCUUAUUAACUAUGUAGACACAUUUUAAAGUUAUAAGGACCCAUUAAGCUUAGAGUGGACAAUAUCUACGUAGUUGAGAAUGGACUGUUACACCAGAUAUCCCCACUACAAUCAAGCUUUGAUACCUUUUAUAGGAAUCAAAUUAUGAUUGUUGAAGAAUAUUUCCAUGAGAUGGGAAUAGUGAUUAUGAUGAGCAAAACAACCAUAUUCACCUAUAGUGGUUCAAGAGUCUUCCACAUCAAUGAGAACCUAGUAAGAAAUGAUAACAAGAAUUGAAUAAUAUCUAAGUGAGAUAAAAUCAAUAUAAUAUGGAAAACCCUCCUAAAGAAAGUAGAAAAAAAAAUCAUAAAGAAGAUUUCUUCCAUUUUAAUAAAAAAAAAAUGGAAUAUAAAUCUUUACUAGUUUCCACACAAUGAAGACUGAUAGAAAUACAUCAAUACUUGAGAUGGGAAAUUCAUCAUCUCAAAAAUAUAAAAAAAAAAAAAAAAAAACGAGAAAAGCAUGGAGAGAUAAUACCAUAAGAGAUUUCACAAAAUAUUGAAAAAAAGAACCUCCAUAUGCAAAGUUGGAAGAAUUGGCCACAAAAGUUUUACAUUCAAACCUUGAUUUACAAGGCUCAUCAUGACCAUAAAUCUUUAUUGUGAUAAAAUAUUAAAGUCUAAAUAUGUGAUAACUUUGCCUAUGAAACACUAGAAAUUAGGAUUAUCAUGGUUGGUAGUAUCCGAGAUGUCGUCCUUUAAGAUUAGCAUUAAUGUGUUUAAAUAUUCAAGUUAAAAAAAAUAAUUAUUUUCUUAAAUUAAAGAAAACUCUAAUGUAAAAUAAAUAAAAGUAAAAAAGAUGAAUAAACAUUUUCUAAAAUAUAUAAUGAAAUAAACUAAAAAGAAAAAUAGAAAACCUUCAAAAAGUUUUACAAUCCAAUGUUUGAUCCUUAACGAGAGAAAUUAUUAUAAAAUCUAAGUCUAUAAUCAAAACCUAUCUAAGAUCAAAUUGAAUCUUAAUACUAAUUCUCAUAUAAAACAUUGUUUUUAACUUUAGAAAUUAGAUUUCUUAAACCUAUUAAUUAUAUUGGUUAAUUUAGUAUUCAAUUUUAAGCAUUCACAACAUGUGGGGACCCCCUCCACAUGUCCCAUUGUGGGAAACGCCCUCCACGUGUCCCUUUUUCGAUCUGGAUACCGUGACUGACUGUCGCCAGUGUGCAAUCCAUCUAUAUCAUUCCAUCCAGACUGCUACCAGUUCCAUCUAGCAUCCGACAUAAUGAAGCCCUUUUCCCACAGGACUAGGCAGCAUAAGGAGACCAAACUCCUAAAACAAUCAGGAUCGUCCGGUCAAGAUUCCCAAACCCACUAGCAUGCAUAAUCAUCCACGCCUGACAUGGGAAUGGCUAAUGGGAUCUCUUCUAACCCUCAAGUCCAUGUCAAUUAAUUGCUACACAUAACCCCAAACCAUCAACAAGUUGAUGGGAUAGGUGGCUAAACGAUCAAACAUCAUGGCACAUCAGUUAGCAGCACCUGCUAGCCGCCCAAAACUAUGAUGAUUGCCCUACCACCUGCAAGACAAUCAUUAUUAUAGAGAAGGUCAAAGUGCUUAGUCAAUACUACAGUGGCAUUCUUUUCAAACACUAUAAAAACCCUCCAAAAAUACAAACAAGGUACGCACGCGCACACAUAUUGGCAUAUUCACUCUCUCCCUUGAGGAGUUCAAACUAUCUCUGUCUAACUUAAGCUUCGGAGGAGCGUGCCCGGACCACCUGUUCGGACAUCCUUUGUACAGGUAGAAAGUUCAUCCAGUCUCAACACUGCUUGGCAGAAGCUCUGAGAGGCACAACGCACGGAGGAAGGUUGUCUAACCUCUAUUCACUUAGAUGGAUCUAACUCCAGUUGGCACGAAACCAACACAACCCAUAUCCAUCUUACAAAUUUGGUUGUUAGAUUCAAUAACAAAAUAUUAAAUCAAGUUAACUAGUGAUCAAAGUAUUCCUAAGAAUCACUAAUACUUCAAUAAACAUCCUUUGUACCUUAUCUAUAUGAAACUUGGAGAAAGAAUCUCUUCCUACAUAUUCAAAUAUAAAAAUACAAUCAAACCAUUCACACAUUACUGAACUAUAUCUUGAGGAUUUUUCACCUUCAUGUUAACAUCUUCGAAUCAUAUCAAAUUAGCCAAAAAUGAUGAAGGACUUUCCAAUAAAAUAGAAAAUAAGAGAAAAGUAAAACUUUAUUGAAGAAAGAAUUAAAAACAUGAGUUUCAUAAUCUAUCCUUAUGAACUCUACUUUAAAUCUUAAAAUUAAUUGAGUUUAUAUAGUAAAAGCAAAAUCCUAACACAUGGCACACUCUAAUUGGAUACCUUGAUCAAAAUUACAUCAUAAUUGUCUCAAAAGUCAUGAAAUUACAAGUUCCAAAUCAUCUAAAGGCAUUUCAAAUUGAAUAGCCAAUGUAGAAGAUCAUUUUGAAAUGGAAAAAAGCUUGAUCUCCACAUAAUUGCCCUUAAAUUUGAAAUUUUAAAGUGAAUUUGAAAUCAUCCCGAAUUGGUAAAUUUCAUAUGGAACUCAACCCCAAUGAAUUCAAAACAAGCAUGACUAUUUUGAAUUGAGCUUCUAUUUUUCUUUCCCCUAACUUGCUAAAUUCGAAAUGAGUAAGUCAUUUCGAAUUUAUGCUUUGAUGUGAGUAUUUCUACCUUCCAAACUCCAUUUUGCAUCUUUCUUCCCUUCCUUGGCUUGUCUUGGCCUUUAAUAUACCUCCAAACAUGAUUGAACAUCUCUCCAUGCCCUCCAUAGCAUGUUUUGCUCAUCUCUCUUGCUUGUUCCUUGUUCUAUGCCUUCACCUCUAUUCUUAUCAUCCUCAAUAAGCCUCAAACCUCUCUUUGAAACAUGAUUAAACCCUCAUCUACCUUAGUUGAUGAAAUUACCCUCAUUGAAUCGCUUUCUAACUCUUCUAUUUUGCAUUUUAGCUUAAAAUAAACGUUAGAUCCACAACUAGAAUACUGGUAUAAAUUGAAGCUAAGUUGGAUUAUUUGAGCUUUAAGCACCAUAUAAAUAUGCAUUUAUAUACCUUUAAAGUAUCUAUGUUUGGACUACAAUCAAAGCCCUAUAACAAUACCCAGAGAAACAACCAUUAUUUUCCUUAUUUUUCUCUCUUUCAUGGUUUACCAAUUUUAUUUUUUCAACGUCUCCAAAAGAAACCUCAAAUACUAUUUAUAUUUAGGCUUAGAAACGCCCACAAAGAACAAACCAACAUUUAGGCUUAAAGACUCUUGAUGGGUUAGUCCAAUAAAGAUCAUAUAAGUUAAUAGCCACAAAUAAUUGAUCUUCCAAUGCUUGCUUCUUGUUGUUUAAUAUAAUGAUUAAAUAAAUAUGGCAUCUUUUGCUCAUCCUAUACAAUGAUUAAACAAAGCAUCUUUGGCUCACCCAAAAAGAAUAUUUGUACAAUGAUCAAUAAGUUAAAUUAGGUUCUAAUAAAAAAAAUUAAACUCGAUUAAUUAAAUGAUAGAAAAUUAUGCUAACAAUUAACUAGCAUUUGAAUUUGAAUUAAUGGAUUUUCAUUCCAUUAAAAGAUACAAUAUGUAGUUGGCCCUUGAGUACUUUAAUCCUCACUCCCCACUCUGCACAUGGUGCACAUGCAUAAUUAGAGUCUUAAUUAAUUAAACUAACUAAUAAUCAAUAUAAUUAUUAAAAUAAUCCAUGAACACAAACCGAUUAGUUAAGUAUCGAGAUGUUCGGUAUGAUCUCAAUUACAUCACUUGUGAUUUCAUUUGCACCUAAUCAUAUGAAAAAUAAUUCCAAGUCCUCUUAUAUUCUAAUUUUAAUUUUUUUUAAUAAAUAUAUACACCAUCAUUAGUCAUAUGUUUGUAAUUAAUUAAAACUAAUGUUUUCAUAACAAAAGCAUAUACCAAGGGGACUCUUAUUAAAAAUGUUAUUUAAUUUAAAUACGUAAAAUAAAAGUAUGAUUUGAGUAUAAAAAUAUGAUCAAAUACAUGAUAAAUAUGUAAAAGAAAAGUUGAUAAAUGAUAUAAAAAAUACGACUAUCGUGAUGUAAAAAUUGUAAUUAAACAUGAUUAAAAAUGCAAAAAAGAUAAUUGUUAAGAUGUUUUAUAUAUUAAAACCCAUUAAUCCAAUAGGUAAACCUAAAAAUUGGUUGAAAAUCUUUAUAGAUUAUGAUGUAAAUUCUGAAUUUUGAAUUAAAAUGGUCUGUUAGACCAUAAAAAUAUACAUUUUAAACCUUAUAUUCAAUGUGACCUCUUUCCAAACACAUAAUUGUCAUAUCAUCCUCCCACAAAAAUGAAGUCAAAGUUGAUAAUCGAUUAAACCUUAUAUUCAAUGUGACCUCUUUCCAAUCACAUAAUUGUCAUAUCAUCCUCUCACAAAAAUGAAGUCAAAGUUGAUAAUCGAUGCUUCAUUUUUUAAUUAAAGCGUCAAUUGAUAAUUAAGGUUUUAAGUUAAAAAAUAAAAUCGCUAUUGACAAAUGAAACUUGAUUUUUUUAACUGAAAUUUCAAUUGGCAAUUGAGAUUUUAAUUUUAAUUUUUAAUUUUUUUUUUUUAAUGAUAUAACUCCUAGGUGGUAACAAAAUGAUCAUUUUGAAUAUAAAUUUUAAAAAAUUUCCCAAGGGCUAUUUUGGUCCAAAACUCACAAAUUCUCAUACUUGAAACUCAAAAACUACGUGAGCAAUGACACAAGCAAACUUCCUUUGGAACAACACAAAGUGGAACCUUUAAAUUAUUAGAGAAAGUCCUCCUUUAUUUUACCAAUGAUUUCCCACUAUAAUCUUAAUUAAUUACUUCAAAGGUAUGUUUUUCUUCCAAUGCGGUUUGCCACGUGGAUGCUUCACUCUAUUCCAAGUGUCAACCACUCCCGACGUGAGACAACCUCGAUCACAUGCUUCACGUGACUAUCUCAUUAUUCAGAUAAAAUCUGUUUUUUAAGGGUAUCAUUAUCUAUACAACACAAAGCCCAAUAAUGGCUGUCACCCAAUAACAUCUCGCCACGAUGGCAAAUUUUUUAUUUUUUGGUGUCAGCUUUUAGCAUCAAACGCAGCAGCUGAGACCUCCCAAACCUUAAUCUCGCCAUCUAGGCUUCCGCUACAAAUCGAUACGACGUCGUACGAGGUGCCACUGGAAACUGCCACCAACGACUUCACCGGCUUUACAUGUCCCUCCAACAUUAGUGUACAGUGAUAUCUUCCAUCCACCCCAGGGCGCCAAAUCCUGACCGUCCGAUCAGAGGACCCACUGAUUAUCAUGUUGUUGACGGUGAUUAAGCAUAGUACGGGUCCAGUGUGGCCCACCAGGGCUUGUGUCGCGGCCAUGUGAUUGGCGCUCUCUUCCCUCUCCCAGACCAAGAUCCAACUCUCACAACCGCCGGAGAACAGUGAGGAUCCAUCCCCGCUCAAUGCGAGCGCAUUCACCGUAGACUUGUGCUUCUCUAGGGUGGUUAUCAGCGUGUGGGUUCUCUCUUCUCCGGUUCUUUCCCAAACCCUGAUGCACCCGUCUGCGGAGGCAGUAUAGACGGUGCCAGAGGCGGAGACGGCGACGGCGUUGACAGCGUCGUCGUGGGCUUUGACAGACUCGACGCAGCGGAGGUCCGAUGUUCUCCAUAUCUUGAAGCUCUUGUCCCACGAAGCUGAGUACAUGAAACCCUCGGCCAUGGCCAGGCCCGAAACGGCGUCGUUGUGCUCGAUCCAGAGCCGCUUCUUGUGCCGCCGGACCCGGACGUAGUUCUUCGGGAGGAUGGAGCGGCGCAAGAAGUCUUUAACGGUGGGGAGAGUAGAGAUAAGGCGGUGGCGUUUGGAGGCCGUGAUCCGCCACACUCUAAUCUUGGAAUCCUGAUGAGCGGUGAAGAUCUUUCCUUCGUGGAAUGCGAUGGACUUGACUGAACCAGAAGUGGGCUUGUUGUUUCUGAAAGUGUCGAUGUGGGUGUGGGUAGUUAAAUCGUAGACGUGGAUAUCUUCGCCGGAGGCAGCAUAGAGGAACUUUUCAUGGACGGCGAGGCAGCUGAUAUGAGGGGUCAAGGUUCUGAGGGAGGAGACGCAGAGGUGAGAAACGACUACGUUUCGGGAUUCGGGAGAGCGACUUUGUAGACUAGCAGUGAAGCUUGUAGUUUCCUGUGAGAGUGUGGAGGUAGAAGGGGUUUCAGAGUUAAUACUUGUGUCGGAAGUGGGGAGUAUCUGCUCCGGUAAAGUAGAAUCGGCAGUUGCGAGCAAUGAUGGGUCCUCCAUAGCUCUGGCAGAUAGAGAGAACCAGGGGCUGUUUGCAUGAGAAAUAUGAAUGGAAUUGUAGAUAAUUUAUAAUACAAGGCAGCUUCUAUGGAAGUUUGAAAUUGGCCUGUUUGGUGAUAGUUCUAAAUUUCUUGAAAGCCCUUGUUUGGUUACACACUUAACUCUCCAAAUGUAAAUGGGCCAAAAUAUUUUCUUAUUUUUUAUUUUAAUACAAAAAAUCAAAUCUAAGUAAAUUAGUUUUUAUAUAAAAUUUUAAAACAAGUCAAAUAAAAUUGAAAUGUUCUAAUUUUUUUUUACUUUCAUUAUUUCUCGUUUUCCCUUAAUUUUUUUUGCUAACCAAACAUAAUAAACGGUGAUGAAGUUAACAAAUGGCUCGAGGGGGGUAACAUGUAACUUUUUAUUUUACGGGUAAAAGUUAAAUAAAAAGCAUUUAUACUUGCAUGAUAACAAAGAAAUUUCUCUUCUUUUUACAAGAAAAGAUUUAAAUCCCCUUACAUGUACCGAAUUCGUCUCAUUGAUGGUUACAAAUUAUUCAUAAAAUCACUAUUAAACAUAAAAAAUUAUGAAUAUUUCCUAAAAUUACUAUUAAACACAUUUUAAAAAUAAUUCUAUAUUUAAUUUUAAUCAUAAAAUAAAUUUUAAACAUGUCACUAUCUCGACCCACCAACCAUUUCAUAAUGGGCCAUUAUUGAACUUGAAUAAGCCCAAUUCAUUUCUCUCCCUACACCUACCUCCCCAUAAAAUAUAAAAUUAAAAAAAAAAAGCAACCUAGUUUAGAAAAGGAGACACAAAUACCAUGGUAUGAUAUAUUUGGGGUAAUAAACAAGAUAAAGUGAAUAAAUAGUAAAUACAAUGGAUUUAAUUAAUAAGGAAGGGUCUAAAGGUGUUCCCUCACAUGUGAUUAGGUUCCAUUAAUGUGGAGACGUGUCACCCUAUGGGUAACCCCUUUUGUAGAGAAACUUUGGUUAGAGACAUUUGUGGAAAAGGUAGGCCAUUUUUUAAGUGUAGAAGGCACAUGUUUUUUGACUAGUAAUUUCAGAUUCACUUGGCCCCUUAUGAUUACAAAUCAUGUGAUGUGCCACUAAUAUAAUAAGCUGAUUUACAUUAAAUUAAAAUAAAUUAAAGUUGCCUUUGCUUCCACUUCUUGGGCAAUAAUUUUGGUUGGGGUUUUCAAUCUUGUUUUAGGUCAGCAAAUUCACUACAAAAUGCUAAACUUUUCUUCUUCUGCCCUUUGUUAACUAAUGCUGAAAAUUGAUUUCCUUGGGGUUUUAAUAUUUGGAUCAUAAAAAGUUUUUUUUUUUAAAAAAAAAAAAUCAUGUGAUAUAAAAAAAAACAUAAAAAAAUAUGGACAUAUUUGGUAAUUACUUUUAAAAAUAAUUUUGAAAACUAGUUUUUUAGAACAAUUUUCUAAUUUUUGUAAAACAAAAGUCUAUUUUAAAACCUAAAAUAUUUUAAAUAUUUUUAAAUAUGUUUUUAAAAAUAAUUUUUAUAUAUAGUAUUUUAUUUUAAUCAUUUUACAUAUUUAUAUAACUAUUUCUUAAAACAACCCUUACAAAAACAAGUAAAAACAUCAUAAAAUAAUUAAAAGAUGUUUUCUAUUCUUAAGAAUAUAAAAUUAAAAACAGUUUUUUUUUUUUUUUUUUUUGUUAAACAAGUUUUUUGUAUUUUUUGGUCUAGAGAAUAGAAAACUAUUUUAAAAAAUAGUUUCAAAACAAACACCAAAGGUUUUCAAAUAAUAUCUUUUACUUAUUUUUAUUUUAAAAGAUUAUUUUUAAAAAUAAUUAUAUAAAGACAAAGAUUAAUUAAAAAUAAAACAUUACAAAUAAAAUUUAUUUUUAAAAAUAUAGAAAUUGGUUUACAACAUUUUAAGUUUCCACGCUUUUGCUUUAUAAAACAUGAGAAAUUAAUUUUAAACCUUCGUAUAAAAAACUAAAAUAAAUGACAUGAGUUUGAAAUGAUAUAUAAAAAUAAUUUAUUAUCUUUGAAUAUAUUUUUUUAUUUUCCUUCAAAUCUUCUUGCAAUUUUUUUCUUAGAUUUUUUAGGAAUCAAGUGUAGCAUUGAUAAAUUUUUUAAAAUUUAUUUAUUUUUCUUCAUUUUUCGUGUAAAGAAACAAGAAAUCAAAGACAUAAAUUUUUAAAUGUCUCUCAAUUGGAUCCUGGUGCACUAAAAUGCCAAUGUCCUUGGCUAAUGUAAUGAACCAAGGUCUCUAAGGACACUUGAGAUUUGUUGUUUGAUUUGCUAUCCACAUGAUUUCCCUUUAUGAAAAAAAAUUCAUUAUAUUUGAUUUUCCAUGGUACAAAAAUGAUCAUUUAAAUGCUUUUGAAAGUUUUAUUUAAUUUUAAUUUCACUAAAAACAGUUUUAAGCUUGGAUUUUUAUUUUUUUAUUUUUUGUUUGGAUUUUAAAAUAUAUGAAGAAAAAUUGUUAGGAAAAAUGAACCCGAAAAGUGGGACUAAGCAAGAAUCCACCAAGCCUAGAACAAACAAAUAGAAAAAAUAAAAUUUUGAAAGAGGACACUCAUCGAAUUAGGUUGAGACAUGACAAUCACUAUCUUUAAAGUAGAUUCACCUUUCUUAGGCAUUAAACUAGGUGCAAAAGGGAACCAACGAGUUACCUAUACGACUCAAUAGCUAGAACUUUGCCUUAGGUACACACCUUUGGGUAGGUAUAGUACAACUCGAAAUAAGAAUUCCUUCAAAUGAUACGAAGGAUGAAGGGAAAACAAGAUGCAAGAACAAACUUAUUGAAGUAGGAUCGAAAGGUUGCGCGUAAAAUAUGAUGUAUAAGAGCACUACUCCACAUGAGCAAUUGCCAUCAAUGAAAAGAACACUUUUAUAUUAAAAUUAAAUAAUUUAAAAAUAUAUAAAUUUUCAAUUAGAUUAAAUUAGAUUUUAUUUUUUUCAUAAUAAACAUAAAUUUGAUAAAAUCAUUUUAUUAUUUUUUUCUUUCCUAAAAUAUAUAAGUUUCAUAAUAGUUUUAUAAGGGCUUUAUAUAUAUAUUUUUUAUUCAUGAAAAACUUUUUAUUUCCACAAUUACUAAUAAAAGAAUUAAAAUGAUUAAUUAAAAUUAUUUUUAUAACAAGUAAGGUAAGAUAUUUGGAAAUUUGGGACAAACUAGCCUUUUAUGCAUGCAUAAUGUAGUGAUUGGACUGCUUUUGAAACUUAUAUGCAAAGUAGCCCCUUUGGAUCUACAACGGCCAAAGAAUUUUUUUUUUUAUUCUUUUAAUUUACUUUACUUUCCCCCACCUUUUCCCUCGUUUCUCUAUCUCAUUCCCUUUUCAAUAAAAAAAAAUGAAGUCUUAAUUAUCAAUUGCGAUUUCAGUUAAAAAAAAAUGAAGUUUCAGUUGAUAAUUGAAGAUUUAACUUAAAUUUCGAAGAAAAAAAUAUUUUUUAUAACAUGAGUUCUAUGCGAUAAUAAAUGAACUAAUUUAAAAAUAAGUUUUACAAAAAAGUUAAACCUAAUUUUUUUUUUUUCUAUAAAAGAGUUAUUUUGCUCCAUAACUCACAUAUUUGAGUACAAAGAAAAUAUACAUCUUAUUACUUUUUUCACUUCAACAUAAAAAAGUAAAAGCAUAAAAUUUAGAUAAAUUACAUUAGAAAGUAUUAAGAUAUUUUUAAACAUUAAUUUAACCAUCAAAAAUUUUAUUUGAAGUUUAAAAAAAACUCUUGUAAACAAGUUUAAGUACUCCCAAUUAGCACUUCACAUUAUCAUUUACAUUGUUCUUCCAAAAUUUUGUGAGAAAGGAGAAGUUGCACACAUUCUUAGUGUAAAUAAUAAUAAAAAUAAAUAAAUAAAUAAAAAAAAUUAAAAACAGAAAGAGAGAAGGCCCACCAUUGGUCCAUGGGCUUUCUACUUUAGAGGCUCCCCCACUUGUCUCAUCAUUAUACCAGGGCACAUGUGCCAUGUAAGCCCAAAACACUCAAAUCUCACUUUUAUAUCAUGGGUUUGGACUUUGGAGCUUUGAGAGAUUUUGAAAAAGUAUAUAUAUAUAUAUAUAUAUAUAUAUAUUGAAAUAUGGUUAUUAAAAAAUUAUUUUUAAGCCUAAGAUAAUUUUUAAGAUGUCAAUAUCUAAUAAAAAUUAUUUUUUUAAGAGAGAACCUCUCUUUGACUACUAAAUUUUGAAGUUCUCUUUUUAAUUCAAAAUUCAAAAUUUAUAUUGAAUUUAUUUGAUCAUAAUUACAUUUAGGGAGUAAUAUUACUGAGGAUCGUAUGAUAGCAUCUAAAAAAUAUUUUUCCGAUCAGUAUUAAAAAUAAACCAUCAAUUAGAUGGUGUUAAAAGCCUUGUAUCUCAAUCACAUUUAUUCAUACAUUGAUCGACUUUGACGGAGGUUCAAUAAUAUUGAAUAAGUUUGAUAAUGUUAAAUUAAUAUCUUAGUAUUUUGUUUUUAUUGAAGUUACCUUUUUAGGAAACAUCUUUUGAUUACUAUUCCAUAGAUUGUAAUAAAUAUAGAAUUAUUUUUUUAAUAAUUCUAAAUUCUAAAUUAUUUUUAAAAGUUCAUAAAUAUUUUUUUAUAAAAAAAAAUCAUAAAAAUGUGAACUCCUUUAGACUCUUUUGGCUACCCCAACCAAAAAUUUAUUAGUUAUUUUAAAUGCCAACUAUGCCAUUAAGGCCACUAAACUUUUAUCCCAUCCUAAAUAAAAAUAAAUGAGCUAACAAGAAAAAUUAAAGUGUGUUUGAUUUAAAAAAAAAAUUGUUUUCAAAACAUGAAUAAUCUUUAAAAAAAAUGUCUUAAUUAAUUUUAAGAAUAAAAUUCUAUUACAAAAUUUAAAUAUAAAAAACAAAUUUUCUUGUAAUUAAAUAAAUUAAAUUUCUAAUAAUUUUUUUUUUAAUUUGAAAAAGACAAGAAAAGAAAAAGAAGUUAGAUCUUUAAGGGAAAAAUAAAAUAAAAUAAAAAUUUAAAUGGGCAAAAAGGGAGAUGAUGGAGUAUUAACACAAAACCAUAGUAUAAAGGGGGGGAUGGUCCCAAAAAUAUUAGGCAUCAUUGUCUUAAUAAAUAUAAGGCAUGCCGUAAACUUUGAGGAACCCAUUUCUCUAUUCACUCACUAUUAAUUAAAGAGUAAAGCAUGGAAGGAGACAUGAGGGUAUUGUCACUUUCUCGAGAAAAUUGUCAUCAUCUACACCAACAUCCUCUUCUCAUUCUCAUGGAUUCUAGCCUUAGGGCUUUUCACCAAUCACAUCUGGUUCACAGCUCUAGAUCUCUCCGCUCAACUCAAUUCCCCCCUUCCUCAAUUCCAUUAAAAAUAUUAUUAUUAUUAUUAUUUUAAAUUAUAAGCUUCAUUUGAAAGUAUUUUUUGAUUUUAAAAUCAUAAAAUAAUAGUAUUUUUAAAAAAUAAUUUUAGAAUAUAUUUAAUAAUUGUUUUUUAUUCUUCAGAAUAAAAAAAUUAUAUUUUAUAAUCAAAAACCAUUUUCAAAAAAAUAAUUAUAUAAAUAUGUAAAAUAAUUAAAAAUAAAAUAUUAAAUAUAAAAAUUAUUUUUAAAAUAUUAAAAAUAGAUAAAAAAAAUAUUUUAAGUUUCGUUGUAUCAUAAAAUAAUUUUGAAAAACAGUUUUAAAAAACUGCAGCGAAAUAGGCGCUGAUUUUAGAUUUUUGUCUUUUUGUGUUAUGGGGACACGUGUAGCAAAAAUGGGACAACCUGGAGACCCAGCUUCAAAGAAUUAAGAAACUGUAGGAGACAUGUGGGCAUGGCAUGGAAAUAUGGUACAGGAACAAUUUAAACCUCAUUUUUAGCAAAAAUUAAUUAUAAAAAAAAUUAUAUGUAGUGGUUUGACUCAUUCAUAUUAGGGUCAGAAAAUUUAUAUAAGACAGAGUCGGUGAUUAAUGGGAAGAAGAGAAGGAUUUAAUAUGGGGUUGGUAGUCCAAAUUAUGCUUCUCAACUAUAAUGCCGUGGGUUUGGAAAGAAAUUAAUACAUGUGGACUGAAAAGUAAAGAAGAAACUCCAAAAAAAUAGGGAACCAACACGUGGCGGUAGGACAGGGAAAAUUCAUGAAUUGCGGGUGAGAAUAUCACCCUCAUUUACUCCACAAAAAAUACGAAAUAAAAAAAAUGGAAAAUAAUUGCUUUUCCCCCUCUCUCUCUGGAUACAGUAGAGAGGGAGUGUGUGUCCAAAGAAGAGCACAAAAAGAAGAAAGGAAUGUCCAUUUCUAGAGAGAGAGAGAGCAGACAACUCUGAUUUCAAGAGAGAGAAGGUAGAGGAAGAGAGGGAGAGAGGGGGAGAGGGAGAGAGAGAGAUGGGGGGUGUGACUUCAUCCAUGGCUGCCAAGUUGGCUUUCUUCCCACCAAACCCUCCAUCCUACAAGCUAAUUACGGACGAUGCCACCGGCCUCUUGCUCUUCAACCACUUCCCCCACCGCGAAAACGUCGACAUUUUGAAGCUUCCGACGCGCCGCGGCACCGAGAUCGUGGCCCUCUAUGUGCGGUACCCCAUGGCCACCUCUACGCUGCUCUAUUCCCAUGGGAAUGCGGCUGAUAUCGGCCAGAUGUACGAGCUCUUCAUCGAGUUGAGCAUUCACUUGCGGGUUAAUCUCAUGGGGUACUUCGUUUUUGCCUUGUCCUUUUCUGGAAUUUGAAAAUUUUUGAUGGGUUCUUUUUGGAUUUGGAGAUUUUGUCUGUUGCUUGGGUGGAUUGACUAGAUUUUGGAGUGAGUUGAUGUGUUUCUGUUGGUUGUUUGGUUAGAAAUUGAUUUUUUUGCUUACUCUUUACUGUGAUUUUGAGCUUCUUUCUUUCUUUCCUUUUUUGGUGGAGUAGAGACAGUGAUGGGCUGGAAUUUAUGGUUAGUUUCCUCAGUUCUGUUUGUUCAGGUGGAAAUUUUUUCUGGCUAAUGUGUUUUGGUUAUAACUGAGGCUAAUUGAAGAUACAUGAUGGAUUUCAUUAUGCUUCAUAGUUUAAAUACCCUGGAGAUAAGUAUGGAAUUUUAAAAGCCAUUUUAUUUUUUUGUGGAAAAUAUUCCCUUCAUGGAAACAAAGAUUUUUCCUGUUGUGGAUUCCUUUUUCUCCCCUUUUUUUUUAAUCACAAGAAAGGGAUAUUGGGUUGGGUGUUUAAGUUUUCGCUGAAAAAUGGGAUUUUGGUCGGUUCUGGUGUUAGUGUUGGUUACAAAGGAAUGAUUUUCAUCAAAAGAAGUUGACCUAAAAUUUAUUAUAUCAAGUUUGAGAUCUGCAAAGUCUAAAAUUGUUGACAUUAGCUUAAAUCAAUGAAUUAAAUUAAAGUGGUGUUUGGUUUCUGCAUGUUGAUCUGUUUCUUUAGCUUCUCAAGUGGGUGAUGUAUGGCUAAGGUACCAGGCCGUAUUGGGAAAUCUGUGGCUUGAUUGUGGAGGACUGAGUUUCUUAUGAAUUUUGCUCGAUCCACUUUGUAUAUUUGGUUUAAUCAAUUGAUCCUCACCGAAGGAUAACAAAAUAUCAAAUGGCAAUGGUUGAAGAUAACUCUGGCAUCUCAGAGAUUAAUGUGAUUUUACUUUUGUUUAUUGUCAUUUUUCUGCUGUGGGAUUUCUUAGAAAAGUAAGUUUUUACUAUUGUUGAUAAUAAUCUGGUACAUGUUGUAGAAGAAUAAGUAUUGCAUCCAUUGUGUGUGAAAUGUGCUAAAUUUAUUGUCAGAUUAGUUAUGUUUCAAAAGAUUGAUGUAAAUGGUCUUUAUCUUCUAUCAAGGUGAAGGCAAAAAAGAACCAGGGUAGAGGAUGUGUGAAAAUGCAUGAUGGGUAAUUAUUUAAGAGGCUUUAGAUGCACCAAAAUUGUGAAAAAGAAUUUGUGUAGGCCCCUAAGCAGUUGUGAGCUAUAAUGAUAUGCAGUUCUACAAUUUUGUAUCUGCAUUGAAUGGGAUUUUUAUAGUAGAUUGGAUGUAGAAGAGCUCCUUCACAAAUUUGCAUGGCCCCUGGCAUUUUACUUUUAUAUUUUGAAACAUGAUCUCGACUUUUAAGAACAAAAUAGAUCUUGGUAGGAUUACUGAUCAUAUAGACCUCCAGUUUAAAUGAAAUCAUGCUUAAUAACUCAAAAUGACAGAGGCGUUGGUUGAUUAUAUAGUACCAAGUAAGACAGGAAAGUUUGGAUGCAUGCUGACUCUAGAGACUUGUAAUAGAGAGGCAAUGAAAUUUUUUUUCCUCUGCACAUGUAAAUAUGAAUUAAUUCUUCAUUUAUGCUCAUUAACAAGGAUCCAUAUUGUAUGAAUUAAAUGUAUGGGAAGUACACCUAGAGUGUAUAACAAGUGGAACCAGCAGGGUGUUCCCCCAUUUUUUUUUUUUAAAUUUUAAUUUUUGGAAAUGCCAACUGAUUUAUUAUUGAAGAUGGAUUUUCAGCAGGAGGGGAAAACACUCCUACAGGUAACAGCUGGUAAAGCUGUCAAUAUAUUUAGCAGAGAUUUUAUUUUUCCCUAAAAGUUUCUUUCUUUAUUUGAAUCGAGCCCUUUAAUUUCAAAGAAUUAAUUAAAUGGUCCCUCCCAAGUAAGAUGGAUUUAUUGUGGCGCCCUUAAUACUGUCUAUGUUUCCAUUGUAGCUUUAGGUUGAAAUGGAAAAAUAAUAACAGAAUUCUUGGAUCUCCCACUGAAAGUUAAAACCAAGAGAAGUAGAGAAUCAAAAGGCAAGAUGUGCUAUGUUUUGGAUUUAUAAUAUGCUAGCUCAAAUCAUGAAAAAAUUAUUUAAUUUUAGAAUUUGUGUUUGGAGUAGAAAAACAAAUUGUCAUAGAUGCUGAUUACUUUUGCUAGUAAUUAUAAGUCUUUUCUAAUCUUUUUAUAGGAAAUAUAUUACAGACUUCUCGUUUAUUUUUUCGUACAUUGUUUAAAGAAUACUAGUGUUUCCUAUUUUUACUUCUAGUGGAAUGUGAAUAAGAGUAUUGAUUUGUUUUUAGUUAUUUUUAUCGUACUUUUGUUUCAAAUUAACUGUGUUUAAAUAUGUUGUUUAAAAACUCAUGGCACUUUAACUUAUAAAUUCUGCAUUAAUGUUCUCCAUGCUCCCUCCCUAUUCCCAUUCCCUACAGAAGGAUAUAUUGUUUAUGAAGUAAAGCUAUUUUUUUCCCUUAUGAGAAACAAAUUGUGUAGAAGUGUAACUUCAUCCUUACAUGUGGAGGGGAAAAAAAUCCUUCUAAUGCUAGGGAUUGCAACAUCAGUUUUUAAAGUAAGUUCACUGGGGUCACACUAUGUCAUUCCUUGGGAAUUGCAACAUCUGCCGAUUUAUAACUGGUUGCCUUACAUUAAAACCAUGUUUUUGCAUGUUGCCUUUUUACAUAUGAAAUUCUGGAGGUUGUAUGAUGGAACUGGUUGGUUAAAUGAUUUGGGAUGUAAAAUUUUCUGAAUGCAUUUUUUAAUUAUGCAGGUAUGAUUAUUCUGGCUAUGGGCAGUCUUCAGGAAAGGUAAAGCUGGUUUUUGAAUUAAAUCUAUGGUGAUUUCCUUCCCAUUACACAAAAGCAUUUAAUGAUGUUGGUACCCAAAAAACUCUUUCUAAAGUGUGAUGUAUACUUGUUUGCAGCCAAGUGAGCACAAUACUUAUGCAGAUAUUGAAGCUGCAUAUAAAUGUCUUGAAGAAAGCUUUGGUGCGAAGCAGGAAGACAUCAUCCUUUAUGGUCAGUCUGUUGGAAGUGGGCCUACUUUGGAUCUUGCAGCUCGUUUGCCUCGAUUAAGAGCUGUUGUUUUGCAUAGUCCAAUACUCUCAGGCUUACGAGUCAUGUAUCCUGUGAAACGUACAUAUUGGUUUGAUAUCUACAAGGUCAAAUACUUGUUUUCAAAUCUAUUUGCUGCUUAUUACUCAUCAUAUCUAAAUAGACUUUCCAUCAUGUUCUUCUCAUCUGACCAUAAUUUUGCAUUGAUAUUGUGCAGAAUAUUGACAAAAUCCCAUUGGUGCAGUGCCCUGUACUAGUGAUUCAUGUAAGUAUCAAGAUUCUGAUAAUUUCAUUUUGGUAACUGCACAAAGUAAUUGAAGCUUUCUCACAAGUUUCAAGAUAAAUGUACGAUGCUAUGAUUGCCUGAAUUGAUUUCAUGCAUGGCUUAAUUUAAUGCUUUAUCAUGCGAUGAUAAUCUAUGCAAACUAUUGGAGGCAGUUGAUCAACAUGAGAAAUGAAAUUUCUGAUUCAGCUGUCACCAUAUAUAAAGGUACAUUUCAUCCUUCAGAAUAAAUUCAUAAAAAAAAAUGGUCUCCUUGCCAAAUUCCUUUUGCUUCUCUCUCUCUCUCGGGAAGGGGAAUCCAUCCCAGCAGUGAGGCAAUUACUCCAACUGUUAGCAAAGCUAACCUGGGAUGAUAUAGGCCUGCCCUCUACCCUACAUUAGAGAGGCUCGAAUUUGGGGUGUCUAGUUCAAGGGCUUCAUUACCAAAAUUCAUAUGAUAAAGAGAAAAAAAAAAAAAAAAAAAACCUGAGAUGGGGGUUUAAAUCCCUCUUAAUGAUCAUAUAUCUGUGAUGAAAUGGACUUAAAAAGAACAGGGAUAGUAGUUAGUGAAAAUUUGACAAAAUAUUCUAGAAAUCUACCAAAACUAAGUCUAAAUCACAUGAAUGGACUGAAUAGAGAGAAUUUGCAUGAAAAUAAAGGGAAGAGUUACCUAUUGAAUGUAAGCAAACUUAAAAUGUUUUUUUAUUUUUUUUCCUGACUUAAUACUAGAAGCCUGCUGGAAGGAAGUUCCUUAGAAAGUUAAAUCAGUCUUGAUAGUAAUAAACAAGAUGAAAGGCGAGCAGGCUGCAACUGGCUUGCAUUUCAGCAGUAGUGUCACAGUCCACGUCAGUAGGAAAUGCUGGUCCUUUUAACAUGACCAAAAACUUAACUGAUAAAAUAUGAUGGUGCAAACUGUUUAUUUCAUGUUACACCAUAUUUCCAAACUUCCUGUUGCUGAUGUUACACAUUGGAUGAGGUCUAUCAGUUCUAGCUGAUGUAGGAUUCAACAUUUUCAACUACCUCUUUGUUUUAUUUUUGCAUUGGUCUUUUGGCUAAGGGUUUAAUGGAUUACAGAUGUCGGUUUUCUUGUCCCACGAUUGAUAAUUCUCUUGUUUUGCAUCAUGACCAUUAACAAUAAUUUUGUUGUUUGUUUUUGUUAUGGCCAUAGAUGUAGCCUGGUAUACAUAUUUGAUAUUCAAAAUAUUAACCCUAAAAAUAUCCAUUUUGCAAGUUAACAUGUCCACCAUUUUUAAUCCAUUUUAUUAAUAACUAGUUUCUUUUUUUCAGUGCAUUCAACAAUGUUGGCUUUGUUGUUCUUAUUUAAACCCCAUUAUAUACUGAGUAGAACUGAUUUAUCAUUAGGCAAUGGAAUGGCAUGGGAAACCUACAACCCUCUUGCUUUCAGAGGUGGUGUGUUAGAGAAGGUCCUACAUGGGUUUAGAAACUCCUAGUCCCUCUUCUUUAGUAUAUUUCUAUUUCAUUUGAUUAGAACCUCCUGAAACAUGUACUAUUUGUUUUCAUAUUGCCAUGGAAAGUUGAAAAACCAAAAUCUAUUUUCUAAAAGAACCUCUGAACUACUACAUGUUUAAAGGAUAUCAUGUCUCUGUUUGACAUUUUGUCAUCUAGACUAGACUGAGUCAUUGCAUUCUCUUGGAUCUUUAUUGAGUAUUAACUUUUUCAUUUUGCAUAUUGUUGUGCAGGGCACAGCUGAUGAAGUUGUUGACUGCUCUCAUGGCAAGCAGCUUUGGGAACUCUGCAAAGAGAAGUAUGAACCCUUAUGGUUAAAAGGGGGGAAUCAUUGUGAUCUGGAGCUGUAUCCAGAAUACAUUAAACAUCUCAAGAAGUUCAUAUCCACAGUGGAAAAAUCACCUUCCCGGAGGAGCAGUGCAAGGAGAAGUGUAGACCGGCCAGAAUAUUCCAGGAAGAGUACUGAUUGUUAUGAGGCUCCAAGGAAGAGCACAGAUCAGGCUCCAAGGAAGAGCACGGAUCAGGCUCCAAGGAAGAGCACUGAUAGGAGAGACAAACCAAGGCGGAGCACUGACAGGCCUGAAAAACUGAAACUCUAUGACUACAAGUCUAAUGAUGUUGACAAGCUUGAGAAGUUAAGAACCUCUCUUGAUCAGGUAGAGAGAUCUCGGAGAAGCGUGGAAUACAAUGAUAAGUCUCGGAGAAGCAUCAACCAACAGUUGGAAAGAGCACGGAAGAGCGUGGAUUGGUUGGACAGAAUACGUGCCGGAUAAAGAGCAUUGAGUUUAUUCUGUGGGAGGGGAAAUUAAAAAAAGAAAAAACAGAAUGAAGAAAGAAGAAAUUACAUGGCUUUUUUUUUUUUGUUUGUUUGUUUAACUUAUGGUUUCAGGUUUGUGUGUAUUUUUGCUCUGGCUGGUUCCAGAAUGACUGUCAUGGAAUGCAGAGUUUGAUAUAAACGGAUUCAUUAUCCAUAUGAUUGUAGUUCAAUGGAAGUACCCUAACCUCUGUCUUUCAUUGUAACCCUUUUAGAAGUAGUGUCAUUCUUCGGGUUCAGGGAUGUUUUUGUAUUUGAAGUGUUUAAUUUUUUCCCAUUUAUCCAAAGACACCAUGUUUGCUUCUCAUUUGCAGCUGUCCAUAUUUGGUGAAUCAGCAUGUACUAUAAUGGUCAUAGAAGCAUGUGGCACAAUCACUUAUUUGGCCACUGAAAAAUCUUCACCCAUGUCUAGAGUGGUUCCAUUUUGGGAUUUUUUUCUUAUGGGACACAGCCUCUGCUACAUUUCCCCCAAUGGUUCUUAUCUCACGACCAAACUACCUGGAAAUCCAAAACUUCUGCAACCUGAGCAUCACACUAAACUUUGGCAGGAGAUCUUUCAAUAUAAGAAAACUGUUACAUCCAUCAAAACCCAAGAAGAUUGAAGCAGGGGAGGAUAUCAGGUAACGAUAAAAAAUGGGUUGUGUCUCGAAAGCUGAGUUUGAGUCAUUUUGCAUUGGUAAAUUAUUCUCGGAAUUUCUGUUCAUCUUGCAUUUCAGUUCCAGCCUUUAAUUGGGUUUCCUCUCCGGAAUUUUGCUGAAGAUGAUCUGUAAGACCUGAGAUGCAGGGUACUGCUGGGAGCAUAGAAGUUGACCUCCAAACUAGCUCAUGUUCAAUGGAGAAGCAAGUUGGAAAGCUUGGUCAACAAGGUGUUGGAUGUUUGCGAUGUGUGCCAUCAUUAUUAAAACCAAUACUAGGCGAGUGCAUAGCUGCCUUUACUUGCAGCUCAUAUGUAUUAUAGUUUAAAAUCGUCUGUUUGCUUGGGGUCCAAGCCCACCAAUUCUAUAUCUUCUCUGAAACUUCUGCUUUACCCAUCAGGGUUGGAGCUCUUUCCCUUCCUCUGUUCUGCGUUUACUCAAAAGGGUUUGUUGCAUUUUCACCUUUGCGAGAGUAUCAAUACUAAUGCAGUUUUCGCAUUGAGAUGAUGGCAUUUUGAUGUUUCAACCAUUCUACAUUUUGCAGCUCUAGUCUUAAUUAUAUCUUAAAAAGUUGGUCAUCAAUCUCAACAAGCUCAAGGACAACGAGUCGGAGAAAUGACUGACAACAGCAACAUGGAAGGAAUUCAAGAUGACGUCAAGGAUCCAUAUUCUCCACCAAGAAAAAGGAUAAAGACCGAUGAUGAAGCCAGUGCAAGCCAAGAAAAUGCUGUGAACUUCUCUGGAUCCUUAGUUCCCACUGCACUCAAAUACAAGAUCCAUGCCCAUGAAGGUGGCUGCAGCUCCAUUUUAUUCCCAUUUAAUUCUCAAAAUUUGAUCAGUGGGGGAAAGGACAACACGAUAAAGAUAUGGGACACAAGCACUGGGGCACUUACCAGCCUUCUUCAAGGCUUCCAAGGCUCAGUUUAUGAUCUUGCCAUCAGCUCUGACAACAGCUUCCUUGCUGCAGCUCUCACAUCCCGAAAAUUGUGUGUAUGGGAAUUGAAUACUGGUCAAAUUCGCCAGACUCUCACAGGCCACAGCCAAAAGGUUUGUGCUGUGGAUGUGGGCAAGGUCCUUAGCCGCUAUAUAGUUAGUGCUGGGAGUGAUCAAAUGAUAAAAGUAUGGGACUUGCAGCAAGACUAUCCUGUCUGUUCUCGAUAUAUCUCCAGUGCUUGCAAUGCUAUAAGCUUUUCCUCGGAUGAAACCACAAUUUGUUCAGGCCAUGCCAAUGGAAAGGUCAUAUUCAGCAAAGUCAAUAGAUUUUGGAUGAAUCAUAGCAGUGAAGUUGAGGCUCAUACACAGUCUGUGACUUCAAUCUGCCCACUUCAAAAUGGGAGUCUCAUACUGAGCAGUGGAAGGGAUAAUUGGCACAAUUUGAUUGAUACCCGGACAAUGCAAAUCUGCAGUAAAUUCAGAACCAGGUGCAGCAGAGUGGCUUCUAAUUGGAGCCGGGUGUGUGUCAGUUCUGAUGACAAUUAUGCAGUUGUGGGCUCAGCUGAUGGAUCAGUCUAUGUGUGGUCUAUGCAGAUGGGAAGAAUGGUGAAUGCUCUGAAGGGGCAUACUGCUCCUGUUCUCGCUUGUUCAUGGAGCGGUAUGGGGAUGCCACUGGCCUCUACUGAUAGUGAUGGAACUAUUUGUAUUUGGUCUUGAGAUGAGAUUUUGGAAAGCAUUCAGAACAAAAAGACUGAAAAAAAAAAAAAAAAAACAAAGAAUUGAAUUAAUGGUUAUUACUUUUAUGCUUUUAGCCCGGAUAAAUUAAGAUCAGACUGCAAUUCCUUCAAAAUUCUUUCUUCUGAAUUCCAGCAAAAUGUCAUCCCAGAACUGCCACUUAUCAUGAGUAGUGCCAUUUAGCCAUGAGAGCAUGGGGACAUGAGGAAUGUUCUUCAUGCCCAUGAUAGCAUUUUGUGUAUAUUUCAAUUUUCCUCUGAUAAUGGUUGAUUCUGAUAUCUCACAGCUGCACUACCUGGAACUUCAAAGCUCAAAGCAGUGACCAUUCCCAUGGACGCUUCCCCUCAACUUCAGCUGCCUUAGCAUAUCAGCAUGAUCUUUUCACAAAUCAAAUGAUGUAUUUGACAUCAUCCUUGGUGUAAGUCAUUUUGCAUCUCUAAAUCACUCCUGUUUUCCUGCAUUUGAAUUCCAGAUUGUCAAAUGGAUUUAUUAACAGUGGGUUAACAGAAAGAACUUUUCUUCUCUCUGAAUGAUGCUCAAGAUGAUCUUUGGUGGUCAAAUUUAGAGGGUACAUGCCCUAUUUGGACCCAUGAUGCAGGGUACUCCAGAAAGCAUAAGUGGGUGCCAGAAGCUGACCUCCAAACUGGCCCCACAUUCAUUGAAGAAGCAACUUGGGAAGCUUGGUCAACAACGUGUUGCGGGUGUACACAAUAAUUAUUCAAACCAAUGGUGGAAGAGUGGAUAGCUGGCUUAUUUGCUUGGGGACCAAGUUUACCAUUUCCUCUUCUUCUUCAAUAUCCUUUGAUUUGAUUCUUAGACCGAAAGGCAAGUGGCAACAGCAGCAUGGAAGGAAUUCAAGAUGAAACCAAGGAUCCAUCUUCUCCACUGAGAAAAAAAAAAAAAAAACCUACUCUUCCCUUUGGGCUGGGUGAAAAGACUACUUGUUCAAUUUGAUAUUUUGGAGAUAUGAUACCUCCUCAAAUACCAUAGAAUCCUAGGUUGUCAAAUAAAUAAAUAAAUAAAUAAAAAACCAAUUAGGACUCAAUAGCAAAAUUCAAAACGUGAAUUGACUUUAAGAUAACAAAAAUAGGCUUUAUUUUUUUUAUGGUCUUUAAUUUAAAACUCACUCAAAAAGCCAAAAUUAAAAAUAUCAAGUAAGAAAAAUUAAGAUAACAUAUAAUUUCAUAUGUAAACGAUCGAAUCCUUAGAUGUCUUAUGAGGUGUUAAAAAAAUGGUUAAAAUAAUUGAAUAAGUGGAUUACUAUGACUAUAACCCUUGACAAAUUCAUUAAAGGCGAAAUUGAUUUAUUUGAUGUUAUGGAUUUUUGGUUAUGGAGGGACCAUUUCAUUUUUGUAGGUGGUCCUAUCUAUUGCUCUUUCCUUGUGCUUAUAUCACUUUAAGAGGUUGAUUUACAUGUAUAACCCUUGUAACUUUAUGAUUGUCUAUGAAUUUACUAGGUCCUAGUUGGAAGGUUGCAAUUUUUUAAUUUUCUCGGUUUUUUAACUAGGAAAUUUUAGUUGUUGGUGUUAAAUAGAUGGUUUGUAGACUUUUGUUACUCUUUAUGUUAUUUUCAAAUUAUUAAAUAUCAUGUUGUGUUAAUUUAAACUUGUUCAAUUUGUUUCAUUAGGACCUUGUAAUGCAAUCACACUCUUUGUUUCAAUUGCUAUUUUUGUUUAGGUAUUUUAAUUUAUCUAUUAGGUCAAUUUGGUUAAUUCUAAGGAUUUCAUAAUUGGACAUUGAACCCAUUUUAUAUUAUGGGAGUUGUCGAUGUAUUAGGCGUUACUUUGCCUGGCAAUAUUCAUGGUGAUACCACAAAAAAUAUCUUAUUUUAAGAUGAUGAUGACAUAGACAUUUUAAGCUUUUAAUCCAACUUAAGGUAAAGAAGUUUAUUCAAUGGUCAUUACUAUCCGUUUUUUAUCCCUAAUCUUUGAGGUUACUUUUUCUAAUAAGUGUUGAUUACAUUUCUUUAUGUUAUUUGUAACAUUAACAAGUUUAUGAGUGAGUGUUCUUGAGUAGUCAGCCCAUCACACUUUGUUUCUAGGAAAUAUAUGCUAGGAAGGAUCUUAAAUUUGAGACUUUAUGCACUAAAAAUAAAUCUUAAAUGUGUUAGAAGUUAUUAAUAUAUUUAGUUACUAUAUUAGAAUUAUAUAUUUAGUUACUAUAUAUUUAUUUAGUUACUAUAUUAGAAUCAUUUUCUUUCUUUUUAGAAGUAAGGGUAAAUUAGUCUUUAUUUUUUUUAUUAAGUUUAUUUAAAUUCUAAUGAUGUUGUACAUAUUUUCAAGAGAAUUGAUAAUAAGAAAUCCUAGAUUUCCUUUUCUUUCUUUUUCUCUCUUCGAAUUUAUUUUUGGAUUUUAAUAUGGUAUCAAUGUAAAAUUGAUUUUUAAUGAGACUUUUGAUUUGUGAUAUCAUGGAAGAGAGUUUAAUUUCAUACACUGAUUUUCAUAUGUGUUUGAUUUGGAAUCCUUUUUUCGUCGUAUUUGAUCGUAGGAUAUUGUAAUGGGUGGUUGCAUUGUUCUUCUCCUGUUUGAACCUAGUAUUUGAUUUCAUAUUCAUUUCCUUCUAUUUAUAUUUGCUUUCUUUUGUUUGGUGGUUAUUCAUCAUGACCCAAAUGAUUCCGUUCAAACUAUUAGUGUGAGAUUGGAUGAAAAAAAAAUUAUUCGUGUUGGGGUUAUGUGAUAAAAUUUUUUUUAAGGGGCAAAAAGAUGUGAGGUUAUAUUAUUGGCACUCUACGCAAACCUAUGAAUGAAAAUGAUGAAAAAUAUGAAGAACAAUUAGAUAUUUGCGAAGUAAGCAAUUUAAAAAUUAUUAUUGGGAUUGACAACUCUGUUGAUAAUUAGAUGGACAUACAAUUGGCCAAGUAUGAAACAACCAAAUGAGAUUUGUAAACAUUUGAAAAGAUUGUAUGAAACUACCAAGGAGAUAUGGGAAUAUUUGGAAAGAUUGUAUACGCAAUUGAAUUCUUUAUUUAUUUGUUAGAUAUUAAUCUAAAUUCUUUGUCUCUAUUUGUUGAAUAUGAAUCUAAAUUUUAUCUCUCUCUUUGUUGGAUAUGAAUCCAAAUUUUGUUUUUCUUAUUUUGUCAUGCCCCAAAACCCACUCGUAUGAUGACCAUUUCACACCUCAAGCCCGAAUGCUCAAAGUGGAACAAUAUAAACAUUCAUAUUGUAACUGAAAAUUACCAAUUACCAAAUUCCUGUUCAGAAUAGUAAAAUAAAUGCAUUCUAAAAUAUUCAGAUAUCGUUUUUAAAAACUAACACAUCAAUUAAAGUGUUAUUGUCCAAAUAACUCCAAACUAAAAUAAUUCAAAUGGGAAUUAAAUUUUAAUAUCUAAACAAUGUCCAAAAUAAAGUUUGAACCAAAAUUCUAACAAAGAAAAAUUCCCUAGUUUAGCCAUCACUCCUUGUCCGAACUGAAAGUACUUGAAAAAGUAUCAAUGAAGGGUAUGAACUUAAAGCCCAAUAAGAAACAUCAAUAUAGUUUCAUGAAUCAAACAUUUUCAAUAAAACUUUCUUAUAUCCAUUUCAAAACAAUUUCAUAUUAAAACCAAAUAAAAUACAUUAAAAAUAUCUUUACUCUAGUUAUUGAAUAACAAAUGGUGUCCAAUUAGGUGAGACUUCACAAAUAAGUGACUAGUUUCAAAUUUGUUCAAUUUAAGGUGAACAAAACCAAAUGUCAACAAUUAUAAUCUAUUGACUAGGGUCAUAAAAUCAACUAUUAUAUCUCAUUGACUAGGGUCAUAUAAUAUCAACUAUUAUAACCCGUUGAUUAGAAUUGAAAAUGUUAACAAUUAUAACCCGUUGACUAGAAUCAUAGAAACUAGAGUCAAAUACUUUAUUUUAUUAAUUCAAACUUAUAAAACAAAAUAUCAUAUCUACAUAAUUUUCAUUUUUCAUAAACAAAGAAAAUGAUCAAACAUUUUUUCCAUGAAAAAACAUAUAUUUGAUUUAUGCAUAGAAAUAAAAAUAAUAUUUUUAGACAUUUCAAAAUAUAAUAUAAAAAGAAAAUUAUUUAUUUUUACAAAAUCUACACUAAUUUCCCUUUCAUUAGAUAAGCACUCAAAAACAUUAGAAAAUUAAUCCCAAAGAAUCUACUCCUCUUCUAACAUAACAUUAAAAGAAAAAAAAAUCAUCUAUUACUAUUAACUAUUUAUCUAAAAUUAUAUAUUUGAAAAUCCUAAUAAUUUCCUAUGUUAUGUCACUUGUAUUAUUUUUAACUUAAUCAAUAACAAUUUCAUUUGUGAGUUUCUAAAUUCUUAUAAAGUUGGUUUCUUUCCAAAAUUUAUUUCCAAGAUUCUAUUAAUUUAUUAUUAUUAUUUUCUUUUCUCAAACUCUUAACCUCCAUACUCACAAAUUUGAUGUAUUUUUCAUAUCCGAAACUAUAUUAUAUAUAUAUAUAUAUAUAUAUAUAUAUAGAUCUAUUCAUUUGAGUAAUCAAAAUUUGUCAAUCUCCAUUAAUAAAUCAAAUUAUGUUAAUAAAUUUUUAAUCUUUUUAACCUAGAAAUUAAUUAAUUGAACCCUAAUAAAAAAUAAAGAUCCUGCAACGAAUUUUUUUAAGUAUUCAAUACUAUUUAACGAAUAAAAAAAAUGUAAUUUAAGAGUUAAAAUCUUACCUAGAAAACUGAUCUUACCUAGAAAACUGAUCUUUAACCUUAAAUCUCAAAUUCUUCAGUCCUACCUUGCCCUACACUCUUUGAUCUUUCUGAUAUUUGUGUAAGAGGGUUUUCUAAAUAAAUAAAAAAUAGAAAAAAUCUAAUUUAUACCUAAGGCUUCUAAAAGAGAAAAGACUUUUAUAUCCUUAUUAAUUUAAUUUAAUUAAUUAAUUAAUUAAUUUUAAUUUAUGAUUUUACCCUUGGUUUUGGGGUAUUACAUAUUCUUCUAUGCUGAUGGAUAUGAAUGUAAUCCAAAUUCUGUUUGUCUUUCCUUCUUCUAUGAUUUUGUGUCUUCUUUUGUCUCUCUUCCUUAAUCUUUUCUUGAUAGUUUUAUGUCGAUUUCUAUCUCUAUUUCCUUUAUGGUUUUAAUUUUGUGUGUGUGUGUUUUUUUUUUUUUUUUUUUACUAUUUCUUCUUCUUCUUUUCUCAUUCUUUGAUAGUUUUAGUUUUAUGUCUUCUAUUACUUCUUCUCUUGGAGCAUAUACCUUUCUAUUCUAACUAUUUUUUCUUCCUCGAGCAUAAACUUUUUCUAUUCUUGUUGAGUCUCAUAAUGUCUUUAAAUCUGAACUUAUUCGUAUUGAUCAUUUCUUAAAUGAUACAAAUAGUUUUGAUGCAAAUAUUGAUACUUUGGUUUUUGAUUGUCAUGCUCCUUCCUUUCCUUCUAUAGCUACUCAAACACCUUCUAAGAUUGUGGAUUCUCCUCUCCCAUGUUCUUCUCAAUGUCUUUCAAGUUAUGAUUGAGGAACUUUAUGCUUUGCAUUAGAUUAAUACUUGACAUUUGGUACUUCAAUUAAAUAGUACAAAACUUAACUGGUUACUAAAAGAAUUUCUCAACAAUAUAAUUGCAAAAUUGUUUACCAAGUCACACCCACUUCCACAAUUUCGGUUUUUGGUUGACAAACUAUCGAUGUUUCUUACAAUCGCAUUAUGAGUUUUGUGAGAAAAUGUUAGACGUUAUUAAUAUAUUUAGUUACUAUAUUAAUAUUAUAUAUUAAGUUACUAUAGCCCUGACCUGUAAAUGGACCUUUAUGAGCCUCUAAAAUAUCUUUUAGCCCAUGACCAAUGCCCUAAGGCACGUAAGUUCAAAGCCAGACUGACUACUCCAAGAGCACUCAUCCAUAAACUGUUAAUGGUAUGGACGAAUCUGUUCCUUCAUCCAAAUGUGUAAAAGAUUCUAGCCGCACUUAAAAGCUGAAUACCGAAAAAUACAAUAUUUUUGUUACUUGACCAACCAUCAGGAGAAGCAAAUACAACGGGGUACAUUAAUCAGUAAGAUUGAUGAAGUAGCAAUUAAUGCAAAAACAGCCAAUUAGUUUAUUUACUUACUAUAUCAAAAUUAUUUUAUUUCUUUUUUAGAAUCUUUUGGGGAUUUCAACAAAAUGAUCAUCUUUGUCCUUGGAUGAUAGCUCAAGAUCAACAUCAUAAAAACUUUAUAUUCCCUUCGAAGGUUCUACCCUAAUUUAUAAUUUUAUUUAUUUAUUCUCAAAUUUAAUAACAAAAAUUUUAAAAAAUAAAGGUAUAAUUUCAACCUUUCUAAACAAAGAGUUUAAAAUGGGAAAUCGACAUCUGCUUAAAUUUUAUUGGAUCUAAAGCUUGGAAAGAAAAAAAGAAAAAAAGAAAAAAAGAAAAAAAGAAAAACCCUAAAAGCACCCUUACAUAUAUGAAUUGUCAAAUCAAUGAGAAUUGUUUGAUUGAACGGAUUGAAUUCGUUUAGUUAAGUUUGUUUGUUGUAACACAUGCCUCUUUUAAAGAUUCAUCAAGUGGAAUUCUGUUUUAUUUCCAAAUUUUAAAUAAAAUUGAAAAUUAGUAAGCAGUCCAUGAACUCAAAACAUUUUCCUCCUGUGUAGCAUAUUCCUUUCGCAGCGGAUGCAUCAAAUCGACGUGUCUUAGUAUCUGUGGGCAGUUUUAAAUAUUUUGUUGACAGCCCUGUGACGUGAUCAUUUUUGUUUAUAAAAUAAAUCUAUUAUUAUUAAUAAUUAUGAUUAUAAUAUUAUUAAUUUUCCGGACUUCUUUAAAAGCCCUCUCCGCACCCUCGAAUCUGCUUGUGAACGAAACUAUUCCUUUCUCAACACAAUCUAUUUCGAUCGAAAUAUGUAAGUACAACUAUUUCAGAUUUGGUAUCUCUUGUUUGGUUGCCGAGAAAACAAAGGAAAAGAAAAGGAAUGGAAAAUAGAGGAAAAGAGAAGGAAUUGUUGGAUUCAUAUGUUUCUUUUGUGUACGGAUUGAAAAAUCUUAAGUGAUUUGGGUGAAGUAUUUGUACUUGUGUUCGUUUUACCGGGAUGUGAUCCAAAAUUUUUAUUUUUAUUUAUUUUUCUUUUUUCCGGUGGUUUCUCGGCCACCAAACUGAGCAUUAGAUAUACGAUGGAGUCGUUGUUUGCUUGAUGAUGUUGAAUUCUUCAGGUCACAGGAUGAGGUGGCGGUUGAUGCUAUUAAACACGCUCUAAAGGCUCUGCGGAAGCGGCAUUUGCUAGAGGAAGGCGCUCAUGCUCCGGCUAUCGUAGCUCUUUCCAAGCCUUUUAUUUAUCAGGUUCUCUGUGUGUGUGCAUAUUUACUAUAGUGAUUAAUCAACUGGUUAUUUUCCUCUAUUGUCAGUGCUACUAAGUUGAAAUUGAACAUUGUAUUUGUAGUGCAAUCUAGGGUAGUCAGAUUGUAUCACUGUAUGGAUUGAGUUGUGAACAGUAGAAAAUUAAAGGAAGGGGCAAUCCUUAUGCACACAUGAACUAUAGAAAAUUAUGCUCAAGUAAAAUAAAACCUUAUCCCAAUUACUCAGGUUAGGGAUGCAAAUCCUUAAUUUUCAACUUAUGUAACUCCAUAACAUUAUAUACUACAUGUCCCACUUGUAGAAAUUCUCUUAAUUUGAGAGGUAUUUAUUAUCACCUUUUUCUGUUAGAAAAAAAAAAUGUCAUUCAUCUUUCUUAAAUGUAUCAAUUGCAAACCAUUUAAAAAGUCGUGGACAUACAUUCAUCCAUCUCCCAAACUUGACACCGGUAAAACUGUUAAUAGGAUGUCCUUAAGCUUUGAAGAAGGCAGCUGUAUGAUACGGAAGGUUGUACUCCUUCCAAAUUGUUUUACAUCCUGUGGAUAAGAUCUAUGCUCCAAACUGGCACAUUUCAGAAUUUUUAAGUGCCCAUGAUGGGUGUCACAAGGUGGGUAUGGAUUAUACAGUUAGCUGGUAGCUGGCAGUUGCACUAUUAAGCACAUCACUGAUUACAUAGAAGUUCUCCCCCCCCAAAAAAAUUGUCUCAAUUCUUAUGCAGCUAUUAUGCAGAUGGCAAUAUUACAUAGACCUUCAUCCACGGUGUUAAUAAGUUGAUGGUAUUGUAGCACAUGGCCUAAUAAUUUGCCAACUCAGAAUUACAAUUGGCCAUUACCAAACAAAAUGCAACAAUGGAUAAGUUACAUGGGUUAAGGUAGAAAGAUUAUGUAUCGUAAAAAUAAACCUAAACCUUAGUACAUGUAACAAGGGAAUUUGAGAUGGGCCCACUUGGUUCUGUACAUGACAUGUCCAGAUGGUAGCCUCCUUGCCUAAGGCACCUAAGGAAGUUACUUUAUCCAGGGCAUAUGUGAUGGCUUUUCCCAUUUAGAGUUUCCUACAUGCCCCGACUUACCUGUGUGCGUUACAUGUGCUACCUAACUAAAACUGCACUAUAUGCAGACUUAUCAAGAGUGCUUUAUAGAUGAAAUAUAUCAAGGCCCAAUGAUGGCAUUUUCCUGUGGACACUCCUGUAGCACAUCAACUAGAUGUCAUUAUCAUUGGAAGUUAGAACAUAUUUGGAAUUUCAAUCAAAUGACUAUCAGAACCAUGAUUUUGGGUGUAUGCCUCAAUGUUAGAGAGCAAAUUGCCUUUAGCGAUGUGCUUAUUAAAUUGUGGCACAAUCUUAGGAGUUGUAAGGCAUAUCUGCAAUCUACAUGCAUGCAUAAGUCCAUGUAACAUACCAUAGUAUGUCACCCAGAGCAUCAUAACCCAGAGUACCCCAAUAUGCCUCUCUGAAUACUUGGAAGACUAUGUUAAUUCUCAGAUCUAGUAAACAUACCAAGCCUAUCCGGUGACAUAAUUGUUGCUUGAACUAGUUGACCAUCUUUUUCCUACCUCAGGGAUUAUUUUCUCUAUUUGAUCUGAUUGUCUGGAUUUGGUGCAGUGUAUCUUUUUUCCAUCUGAUAAAGUUGUGGCACAAAAUUUCUACAAUGUGUUUAUUUGGCAUGGUUUCUCUUGAUGGAUUGUUCUGAUGCUGCUGAAUUUUAACAAUAUUUCUUAGUUUUGGAUUCUUGGUUUUAAUUCCUUUUGACUUUUUCUUGAAUUACUUAUAAUUAGUCUGAUUGAGAUUGGCUGGUUGAUGUCCUUGAAGGGAUCUGAAUGGAAAGAUAAAGCAGAAAAUCUUGAAGUGGAACUACAGCAAUGUUACAGAGCUCAAGCUAGAUUAUCAGAACAGCUUGUGGUGGAAGUGGCUGAAUGCAGAGCUUCAAAAGCCUUGGUUCAAGAGAAAGAAGCAAUAAUCAAUGAUAUACAAAAUGAGCUUACUAAAACAAGGUUAUCUUUUAUUCUUAUGCUUUAGUCAUGUAGAAGGUGUCUUUGAAAUUUCAAGUAGUAUGAAUCGCCUAACUCAAUUAAAUGCUCCAGGGAUGAAUGCUUGCAACUAAAAGUUAUUGUAGAAGAAAAGACUAAAGCUUUAGAAUUAGUUAUGAGUGAGAAUCAGGAGCUUAAAGCACAGCUACAAGAGAUGACUGUGAAAGCUAAGAAUAUAGAGGCUGAAAAUAAGAUGUUGAUUGAUCGCUGGAUGUUGCAAAAGAUGCAGGAGGCUGAACACCUGAAUGAGGUAUUUUAUGUUAUUGUUAUGGUUGGGAUCAAACACAGAAUUAGGUCUAGAUGAUACUAGUACAAAUUGGUAUCACUAGGGAGUGACCCAGAGAAAUGGCAUGAUGAGGGAAGAAAAACUUUGUUACCAUUCUGUGCUUGAUUUUACUGAUGAUUGGUUGGCUAUUAUUAUAAUUACUGGGCAAUACAUCAUUGUUGUCAGAUGUAUUUUGAAUGGGGAUUUUUACUCUGCUUUCAGAUUUGUAUUGAUUAGAUGAUACUCUCCUGAUUUUGUUCACUUUUUAAUCAUCUGAAAGAGAAAAACCUCCUUCCCUUACCUUUUAACUUUUGGACUGAAUUUUUUAUCUGAAAAUUGAAAAGAAAAGUCUUCUUUCACCAAUUUUUCACUGUCCAACUGAUAGGAUAUCAAUUCACGUGGUUUAUAUGAUUUAGACCUGGUUUGAUGCAGCUUUUUGCUGGAAGCACUACUUGAUGAAACUGCUUCAUAGUCAUACUAAAACAUUUUAAUCCAACAUAUAACAACUGAUAAGAUAUCUAUUUACCUGGUUUAUAUGAUUUAGGCCUGGUUUGAUGUGGCUUUUUUCUGGAAACACUUCCUGGAUGAAAAAUGACAUUGGCUGCUUCAUAGUUGUACUAAAACGUUUUAAUCCAACUAUCUAACAAUAACAUUGGCUGUAUACAAUAUUGGUGGAGAUCCAAUGGAUUUUUUUUUUUUUUCAAAGAAAAGAAAAUGAAAAAGGAAAAAAAAAGAAAAGAAAUAACAAAUACUCCAUAAACCAUUCUUAUACAUUUUAGUGUAGGGAGAGAUUUAAGUGUUUAAUCCUCUUUCAGUUGAUUAAGUUUGCUUACUUUUGAAAGAAUGUUCAUAUAUUUUUAGUCUCUUUCCAUCUGAUGGGUUGUCUAACUAUAUUUUAAUUAUUUUAGGCUAAUGCUCUUUAUCAAGAUUUUAAAGAUCAGCUCAAGGCCAGUGGUAUAGCACAACUUGCUCGGCAGCAAGUGGAUGGUGUGGUACGCCAAAGUGAAGAAGGUGCCCAGUACUAUGGGGAAUCAACUGUUCCGAAUACAUGUAAGCACAGGAUCCAUGCCCAUGAGGGUGGCUGUGCAGCUAUAUUGUUUGAGUACAACUCUGGCAAUUUGAUUAGUGGGGGACAUGACCGGGCAGUCAAAAUGUGGGAUACAAACACUGGAUCAUUAACUCGCACUCUUUAUGGUUGUGUGGGCUCUGUUCUUGAUCUUGCUAUUACACAUGAUAACAGAUCCAUAAUUGCUGCAAGCAGCUCAAAUAACUUGUGUGUAUGGGAUGUGAACUCAGGUCGGAUCCGUCAUACUCUUACAGGCCACAUGGAUAAAGUUUGUUCUGUAGAUGUGAGCAAAAUUUCAAGUCGUCAUGUUGCAAGUGCAGCUUAUGACCGUACUAUAAAAGUUUGGGAUUUGCAGAAAGGUUAUUGUAUCAACACUAUCAUUUUCCACAGCAACUGCAAUGCACUUUGCUUCAGCACAGAUGGACAAACCAUUUGUUCAGGUCAUGUUGAUGGAAAUCUUCGAUUGUGGGAUAUUCAGACAGGAAAACUACUUAGUGAAGUUGCUGCUCAUUCACUUGCUAUUACAUCUAUCUCUUUGUCUCGAAAUGGGAGUGUGGUAUUAACAAGUGGGAGAGACAACUUGCAUAAUUUAUUUGAUAUGCGGUCUCUGGAAGUUUGUGGCACAUUAAGAGCGAAUGGAAACAGGGUGGCAUCUAAUUGGAGCCGAUCCUGUAUAAGUGCAGAUGACAACUAUGUUGCUGCUGGAUCCACUGAUGGAUCUGUGCAUAUUUGGUCAAUACUAACAGCAGAAAUAGUGAGUACUCUAAAGGAACACACUGCUUCAGUUCUAAGUUGUUCAUGGAGUGGACUUGGAAAACCUCUAGCCUCCUCUGAUAAGAGUGGAAUUGUUUAUACAUGGACAUGAUCGGUCUCACUUUGACAGUUGUAACUGUGACAGAAGAUUCUGUCUCUCUCAAUCUCUUUGCUGGCUUUGUGUGAGAUACCAAAACCUUAUAAGCCAUUUCAGGUUGCUUGACCCCAAAUCACACUACACAAUGAUAAUGUCCUUCCACUGCUUGGAAUCCAGAUGUUUGUGGGCUUCUAGUUGUAUAGGUUUCUAGUUCAGGAGAUGCCAAUAAUGAACAUCUAAAGUCCAGGUGUACCAUGACCAGAAAAGGGUCAAUAUUGUUGAAGAAAAUGAGGGUUACUAAAAGGAAUUGUUGUGACAGUGCAUCAGUGGAGUAUUUCAUUAUUUUUUAAAUAAAUAAAGGGAACUUGUUUGGUUCUCGGUUGGUAGAAAUGCAUGCAAUGUUCAAUUUAUAUUUCCGUGACUGAUAAUUUUUUUUGACAGGUUGUUUUCACUCUUGAAGAUGUGGGAGUUUCUUGAAUUUUGAACUUUGUCCAGCUUCUUCUUAUAGGAGCUGUUAAAGAGUUUAUAUAUUGAUUUUAUGUCUGUUCUUUAAUUUUUUUUAUUUAGACUACUUUGCUUUUUUAGUUCUUCUUAACUACAUUAAUUUCAGAUUCAUUUUCUUUGGGGUAUAGAUAAAAUUUCUGACUAUAGGACCUCAAAACAAGGUAAUCUGACCAAUUGAUGCAAUGUGUGAUGUUACUGCUCUCAUAUUUUAUUUAAUGCCCCUCUAUUUCCAUUUGUUAUUACCAUUCCAUGUUAAUGCUAACAUUUUAUUCUUAAACUGUUUCCCAUCACAUCAUAUACAAUAUGGUAAGAACAGGGUAAUCAGUCAUUAUUAGAAAAAACCAAUUCCAUGGGUGCAAUUGGCAAGAAAAAAAGAUGAACUUCAGGUAAUCAGUCAUUAUUAGAAAGUUCUUAAUGAGCACUCUUACAAGAAUGUAAUUGUUCUUCAUGAAAGUUUGGGAUUUCUUUGUGCUUCUUUAUCAAGAAUAUUGCUAUCUGCAGAAAUAGCUUAAAGUAGAAGAUGUCAUCUCUUUUGCGAGAAAUGGUUUUUUUAUUUUCCAAUUAAUUUUUUCUCCUUAUGCUUGAGUUCCAAAACUAUUAGGCAACCAGAUUUUCUGUAUGACUAACAAGUUGGCUCCCUAUGCAAUAAUCUUGAAUCCAAGGGCUUGUAAUCUACUUCUGCUGUUUGACAAUAGAUUUCAAUAUUGCUAAUAUGGCAUAAGUGUUCUAUAAUUUUUUUGAUAGACUAUGGCAUAAAUGUUCAAUAAUACUAUGUAAGAAUCAGGAUCAUUGUAAGACUGACUUGCAAUUGGUCUUAUUAAGUAGUUACCAUAAGAUUGUUAUGAGUGGAACAUCCACUCUGGAAUGCUUUUCAAUAGUAUCCAAAAGCUAACUCAUCUGUCUUUGCUUCCAAUAAUUCAUAUUUUCUCAUCUUUGUUGCAGAAUUCCUUUGAAAUGCUGUCAGUCGAUAUAUGAAUCUGAUAUUGAAUUGGAGCCAAUGGAUUCAUUGCCUAUUAGUUUAAUGCCUAUCUAAUUUCUCCAUUAUUUAGCUGCUGUGGUUGAAAUUAGGGAUUAUUGGAUGAACAUAUUGAAAUGAUUAUUACAGAAAAUACUUUAUUUUCAUGCAUGCUGAGUUUACUAUGACUAUUUUAAUUGCUGAUUGGUCCAAAGUUAUAUAUGCCUUUGAAUAGAUUAAUAAUCUUUGUUGACCAAUAUAUUCUAUCUUCUUUAAUGAUUGUUUGUGGUUUAAGACUUUAACUUUCAAACCUUAUCAGUUCUCCAAACCCAGUAGGGUGACUUAAACCUGAAAAACAUUCAACAUAAAACUGAACGAUUAAGGUCAUUUGGUGAUGGAGAAAACCUGUCAAGUUUUACUUGACUAUCCUAUUUUAUCCCCCAAAUUUCCUCCUGAUCCUCCUACAUCUGAAAGAAAAUGAAUCUCAUGCAACAUUCUACAACUCAUUGCUUUACUCUUACCUAGUAUUCUUUCCUUUCCUCUCCAUGACUACAGUAAAUACUCAACAUUGAAAAUUUGACUUCUACAAGCACAACUUUUGGGAAAAUGUAGAUUUAGGAAGAGGCAAGAUGUUGUCAAAGUUGAUUGGUGGUUUUCCAUGUAAGGUCUGGUAAUCAGUCCAAAUCCAGUUUGGGAGUUGAAAUGGUUGUAGAUGGUUACAGAUGGUUGCAGAAAGAUGUUUUGUUAACCUUGGCAUUUAUUUUCAUCCUUCUAAGGAAUGUUCGUGCACAGCUUUGCAUUCCCUCCAGCGUAUCCCCUCAAUCUGAAUUCUGAUGUAUUUGUUAUUGUACUCCAUGUGCUGCACCUUAUGCGUAGAAUGUGCAGCUUGUCAGCUUUAGUACCAUUGCGGUUCUAUUGCAUGAGAGGACUUGAGAUGGUACCUUGUGCACAUUUCUUGAAAGGUGAAGGCAUGAGAUGGGGUUCAAAACUUGAGCAGCUUGCUACUUUAGCUCUAUAGGAUGAUGCAGAAAGUAAUUUUUUUUAACAUAAAAGACACUGUUUGUGCUUCAUCAGCUUUCAUUUUUAAGAACUUGAGAUUUCAUGAAUCGGAAAAAUCUAUGGAAUGUUGGCAUGAGGUUAUCUCGAGUUCAGUUUAGUUGAAUAGAAUACCCUUAAGCGUUGGUACAAGCCAACAACAAAUGAAGACAAUGCAGCAAAAAGAUGUAGAUCACAUUGAUGAAAACUACCGAAAGGGAGUCCAACAAAAAAUCUAUAUUGUGCAACUAGAAGAGCUAAUAUCCCAUGUACUUGACCUAGUUUUGUCUUGAUCUUAAUUAAGUAAUCGAGCUUACCUGCUUGAAAUUUGUGAAAAGCAAUUCUUAGCUUGUGGUUAUGGAGUCAUUCAUCCUUGGAUGGCUCGAUGUUCCUACCAAUUAAAUUGAGCUCUCUCUUCUCCAUGGUGGCAUGCUGUUGGAGUUUUACAAGUGAAAAAUAUGCACCUUUUUCUCCCUUUGCAAGUAGCUCACCAUGCGACCCCUCUUCCACAAUCUUCCCAUCAUCAAUCACUGAUAUUUUAUCUGAUUUUUGAAUUGUGGACAGUCGAUGAGCUACAACCAGGCAUGUCCGACCAACCAUGGUCUUCUCCAGUGCAUCUUGAACAAGGCUCUCCAAUUUGACAUCCAAUGCACUCGUUGCCUCAUCUAAAAGCAAUAUUGCAGGAUUUUUCAAGAUUGCUCGAGCAAGAGCUAAUCUCUGCUUUUGCCCUCCUGAUAGUUGCACACCUCUUUCCCCACAAUAGGUUGCAUAACCAUCCUUCAUGGAACUGUUCAUUGAAGACACAUUUGACACAGAAUUUAGAAAGUGAUUGUGCUCUGAAAAACAUAAAUAGCUAAAUGAAUAAAACAUAAAUAAAGAUCUUGGCAAUAACAAACCUUAUAAAUUCAUGGGCAUUUGCUACAGUGGCCGCUUCAAUAAUCUCAGCUUCACUUGCAUUCUCUUUCGCAUAUGCAAUGUUUUCCUGGAUGGUUCCUGCAAAUAGAGUGGGCUCCUGACUUACCAAUGCAAUAUGUAACCUUAAAGCUCUUAGAUUGUAGUGUUUGAUGUCAAUUCCAUCAACUUCAAUAGAUCCUUUUGAUGGGUCAUAGAAUCUCUCAAUCAUUCUGAUGACAGUAGAUUUUCCAGAUCCACUUUGGCCAACUAAUGCCACUACUUUUCCAGCAUCAACCUUUAGGCUUACACCCAUCAAUAUCAUCUGUUUUGGUCUUGUUGGAUAAAAGAAAUCCACCUCUUUAAAUUCGAUAUCUCCAAUAAGCUUUUCUGGUUUUAUCCCUUUGAUUUCAUCUGGGUCCAUUUUGCUCUUUCUUUCUAGAGUCAUAAAAACUGACUUUAAUGCAUUUGUGCCCUUUGAUAAAUCAGCAGUCAUGCUCCCCGUUUCUGCAAUAAGUCUCCCUGUUGCCACCAGGAUGAAAAAUGUCUGAAACAGGUGCUUAUAUGAAAUUUCUUUAUUGUAUAGCAGCCUCCCUCCAUACCAGAAAAUUAGUCCUGCACUACCAGAAGUGAGGAACUGUGAGGUAAAUAGCCCAAGCCCAGCAUACCAAGAUUGUUUAAGGCUCUCAUUCUUGGGAUCUUUCUGUGUAACCUCAAAAAGUGACAAAACCUUUUCCUGAGAAUAGAAUGCAGUAAUGAUUCUGUGGUUCCCAACAGCCUCACUUGCUAAUUCACUGCUCUUAUUCUGCGCUUUCAAGAUUUUCUUGGACAUACUCCUCAUCAUUACUGCUCUAGUAUAAAAAGCACCUAUGAUGAAUGGUUGUAAAGCGGUAACUACAAUGGCAAGUUUCCAAGCUAAAACCAUACCCAAAAUAACUGCUAAAGCUGCAGCAGAGAUGGCUUGAGUCAACAGUGACAACCGAUCAGCAACAAGAGUUCUUGCCAUGGUCGAAUCCACAGAUAAUCUCGAACAGAGAGCCCCAGUGCUGUUGUGUUCUUGAUCAAACCAUUCGAUCUCAAAUGUCAAGAUCUUUGUGAGGCUUGCCUCCCUGACCCUUCUUGUUAGGUUCUCUCCCAUAACACCAAAGUGGUAAUGCUGAAUGACAUUGGUGAUGAAAGCAAAGAUAGCAAAGGCUAAGAAGGCAAAACAGUACAUUUUUGUUUGUGAUCUAAUCUCAUCAUGGUCAUUGAUGAAGUAAACAGCUAGAAGUGCACCCAUGCAGAAAGAGCUCAUUGGCUGAACUAAUCCAAAGAUAAGAGCACCAAUGCAACCGACUAGGGUUGGCUUCCACUCUGGUGUUGUCAUCCACAUCAGUUGCCAUAUAGAUGGGGGGCUGUAAUGAUCUUCUGACUGUUGGUUGCUGUUUGUCUGAUGACUAGGUAACUGAGGACUCAAUUUGUUUGCUAUUUCUGCAGUGGGGGCAGCUUCUUCAGUGGUGGAGGUGGAAUUGUGACUUUCAUUUCCUUUAGGCUCUGAUAUGAUUUCAUCUUUCAUGAAUGUUGUUUUCUGCAGCUGCACCAUUGCUGAGUAUGGCCCGUGCCUGUUUUGUAUAAGUUGGUCAUGGGAACCAGCUUCCACUACUUCUCCAGAUUGAAUAACAGCAAUCAAGUCAGCAUUACGCAGUGCAGACAGGCGAUGUGCAACAAUUAUAGUGGUUCUUCCUAAUGAUGCCUGAUUGAAAGCAUCCUGGACAGCCUUUUCAGACUGGGAAUCCAAUGCACUAGUGGCUUCAUCAAGCAGCAGGAUUCUUGGAUCUCUUAGCAAUGCCCUUGCAAUGGAAAUCCUUUGUUUCUGCCCUUCAGACAUCUGAAUACCCAAUUGUCCUACCUGAUAAACAUUAAUCCUACGCAUUAGUAUCUUGUUCUUUUUAGUCAGUCAUAGAACUAUAUGGCAGAAAAGCAAAUGAUAGAUUGUCAUUAUUAGGUAGAUCAGCAACAACAACCAAUAUUGGAACAAAAUACCAAAGCAGAUAUUGUUUAAUACUUACCAGGGUGUCAUAUCCAUUGGGUAGUUGUGAAAUGAAGUUAUGUGCAUUGGCAGCUUUAGCUGCUUGAACUAUCUCCUCCUGUGAGGCCUCCUCUUUUCCAAAUAGAAUAUUCUCUUUGACUGUGGUUGCAAAAAGUAUAGGCUCUUGGGCAACUAGACCCAUCUGGCUUCGUAACCAUUUUAGCUGAAGGCUUUUUAUGCCAAUCCCAUCCAACAGUAUCUCUCCCCCAAGAGGAUCAUAGAAUCUUUGGAGCAAAUUAAUCACAGUAGAUUUACCUGAACCACUGCUACCCACCAAUCCAACAGUCUGGCAAGCAACCACUUUAAGAUUGAAUUUUCUUAAUACUAAGUUUCCUGGCCGUGAUGGAUAUGCAAAAUCAAUUUCCUCAAACACCAAUUCACCUUUGACUUCGGUGAUGGUUUUGCCUUGUUGAUCUGCAGAAUCUAUGCUUGGUACACGCUCAAUCAUUUCUAAAAUAAGUGCAGCUGCUGCAUUUGCUUCAGUAAAGUGCUUCACAUUGAGGAAAGAACUGCCAAGAGCACUGCAAAAAAAGCAAGUAAUUAACAGCAUUGAUCGCUAAGGGCAUAUUGAGUGUGGAAUUCAAGGAUUUAUAGCUUCUAGUGACCUGUAAAAUCAAUUGCCACUGACUCUUUGGAGAAAUUUAGAAGGUUUAUAUUAGAGGUGUAGAGGAGUAUGUUCUAAAUUUUACAUUUCCAAGCAUAAAAUUUUCAUUUUGCUAUUUCUCCUGAAGAAGGUCCUUAAAUUUAGGAUUAUUGUCCUUUCUUACCUAUUCUGUUGAGUAACCUUUAAUCAUAAAACAGAACCAUUUUUAGAUGAACUAGAUCCUGUAUUCCUAAUGAUUGGCUUGUUCCGCUUAGUCAGUGUGGUUACCAAGAGUGAUCUAGAGAAUAUUUUAAUGAAAUAGGCUUUAGAUAUCCUUUCAAUGGCAUUACGAGUCAUUCUUCUAUCAACUUGCUUUCAAAGACACCUGAAAUGAAUCACACUGUUUAAGCCAUACCACUUCGGAGGGAAAUUUCAUGUUUUAACAGUAGAAGACAUUUCUAUUUUAAUUAGUCUUGUCUUCUUUUUGCAGCAAUAUAUAGACCAGGGUUUUAAGUGUCAUGUCUUGAGAUAAUAGGGUUACAGUUUAAAAGUUGCAGCUUCUUGAGGAAGAUUGUGAGAUAUUAUGAAUAUCGCUAGAGAUAUUUCGACACCUCAAGAUCUCUCUGCUUAUACUGCUUAACUAUCAAAAUAUUAAGAUUCUUUUUCUAGUUCUUCUGUUUCAUUUUGCCACUGUGGAAUCUAUUUUCAUUUGCAACCUUGUAAUGCAAAGCCAAUUUAAUCUGCUUCUGAGUCACACCUAUGUUUACUAAGUAACUCAUUGUCUUCUUGAUUUUCUUCUGUGUUCAGUUCUUCUCUCUAUUUCACCUUCAGUUCAACUAAUCCUAAGUAGUAUAAAUUUUAAGUUAUAAGCUUGCUUGUGCUGUAAUACCUAGAGAAGAUUGAAGUAGCAAAGUUCAGGUUUCGUUUGUGAAACUACAAAAACUACAUUUUUCUCUCUUUUUAUGCUUUAUCUUGCAUAUUUCAAUGUUUAUGAGUUUACCUACAUGAAUUGAUCUUCUGUAAUUGUUUUAAUGUUUAUGUUGCUUAUGGUGUUUGUAUCUACAUCAUUGUCAACAUAAAUACCCUAUAUGUGAAUUAUUUCUCAUUUAUGCAUUUUAUUUACAAUACUUUGACUUUAAAUGGUGCACACUGUUUCUAUAAGUACUUCUAAAGUUUUAUUUUCAAAUUUCAUUUCUUCGAUACUGAUUUAUGUCAUUUUUCUAAAUCAAAGUUGCUAUUUGGUAUAUUCUUAUUUUCUCUACAACAUCUCUGUGGUUCUUGUCAUGAAGACUUUGAUAUUUAGGACCUUAGGUACAAUGCACAAAAUGUACCAGGAUUUUCACUAUCUUGGCUGGUGCAUAAAAAUAUCUAAUCCUUGUGAUUUUCCCUAUCCAUAAAGAGAUCAGAUGAAGAAAAUAUUAAAGUUUUUUCUUAUUAUAGGGAGUGUUAUAUGCAUGUGCAGGAUUUUCUUUUAGGGGGUUUAGGGGAAUGGGAGGUGGGUAGGAAAUAGUAUCUUAUGUUGAACUUACAGUCCUCCGUAUAUUAUGCACACUCCUGUAGUGAAAACAUUGCCACCUUUAACUCCUUUGUCAGUGACCAAAAUGCUCCCAUACCACCCCUGUAGUGCCCAAACGGCAUAUGUAACUCCUAUGCUGCCAAUGGCCAUUCCCUUCAUCAGUCCUUGUUUGAUCCCUAGCUUUAAAAUCGGUUCCAGUGCAACUGAAUAGCUUUUCACUGUUCUUUCCUCUCCAACAUAAGAAUAAACAGUCCUGAUUGAUGAUAUUGCCUGCUCCACAAUUCCUCCAGCAACAGAAUAAGCUUCUUGUAUCUUCUCUCCAAGCCCUGAUAACAGCUUUCCAUAUACUAUUCCUGGAAUAAUCAACAUGGAAAGUGCAGGAAUGGCAACAAUAGCCAGUCUCCAACAGAGGUACAGAGCAGUCAUUUGAGAUGUGAUGAACAUUGCUAUAUUCAUGAUGAAAUUUGGAAGCUGUCAUGAAUGCUAAAAUAAGUUAGUAUGCUGAAAGUGAAAGAUUAAGUACUUAGUUAAAGUACAAUUGUUUUAAAAGUUUUCUAUUUAGUGGAGCAGGCAAGUGACCUUCUCACUGAGAACUCCUUGUAUGACAAGAAUGUCUGUUGAAAUACUUGAGACUACUUGGGAGGUCAUGGAUGCGCCAUGAGUUCUCUCGAAGAAUCCAACAUCUUGCCGCAGAACUGCUUGUAAAUAUUUCCUGCGCAGUCUAGAAGUUUGCCUUUCUGCGGUGCGUGCCCAACAAAAUCCUUCUGUUAAAGACGCAAACAUAAUGGCCAGGAGGUGAGAGAUUCAGUGGGAUUGUUAUGGAAUAUUACACAUCAGUCAGUAGGUAAUUAUGCGAUUUUUAAGGUCAUACACACAGACUCAUGUAUAUAUCAUGGUUCAAACUCUGUUAUCAAUUGGAUGAAUCAUGGGUCCUGAGUGCUGAAAAUGAGGAUGGUUUUUCUGUUUAGCAGCCAGGUGCAUGCCUUUUUAAUUUUGAUGUCUCAAAUCCUAUCUUCCUUUGACCUCCAAUCAUUAGACAGCCAAGAGCAAAAUGAUAAUUGCAUUGAAGCUUGAAGAGAGAAUUGAGGAUAUGACAUAGAUGUGAAGAUCUCCUAGAAAGUGUGUGAAAAUAAAAAAAAUAAAAGGUCUGAUUGUCGACCCUGAAUCUAGGGAAUCAAAGAAAGGAACAUCCUAAAGAGGAAAAUAUUAGAGAUAUCUCCACAGAUUUUGUUGGACCACUAGAUGCUUCUAUAUGAUAUUGAGUCACAUCAAUGCAUGCCUUACCUGAGUUCCAUAUGUUUUCUAGGAACUCAACCUAACAUGUACACCCAACCCACAGAACUAAAACAAAGGCAAAAACCAUAUCUCUGGUGUGGUAUGCACAUAAGUCCAUUUGACUGGCUUUCCCAGAUAGGAGCCUUCUGUCUUCAAACCAUAUAAAUUCUCAUGCUCUGUAUAAAUUUCUUGCUUUGAUUAUUUCUCAUGUUCUCAUGGGGUUUGUCGACCCAAUUCCACAAAACAGUUUUCGAUAUUCAUGAGAUGAAAUGCUAGUGCAAUCUCCACUGUUCUGUGCAGGCUCUGAUUAAAUAUCUUGUUUACUAAAUCUACUAUAUUGUUUGAAAUAUAAAGAAAAGCAAGGUUGUCUCCUUGAUAGUAUAGAGAUGAAAGUUCAGACCAAAUACCUAGAAAUGAACCCGCACCUAUGCCAAGUGCUACAUAGAGUAAGGCCAAUGCGUACUGCAAAAUGGGGAAAAUAACAACUGCUUCAGUAUAUGCUUGUACUUACUGCAAGAAAUAGAUGGUUGGUUAUGAUUGUCAACCCUCAUUGCUAUUAAUUAAUAGGGGAUGUGGUAUUCUAUGAAUCCUCCCAGUUCAUUGAUUGUUUCUGCAUCUCCAGAAAACAUGGGUGUCUUCUAAAUUUAGAUAUGCUAUGGUUCAAAAUUUCUCUUAUAUUUACAAGCAGAAAAUGAACAAAAUGGAACUUUCAUACUUAAACAGAAAUUGAACGUUAACUUUUGUCUAUUAACCAACCUUAUCUAUGUCUGCAAGGGAGAGAGAUGUAACGGCGUAAGCAUUCAUCAGUUUGCUGAUAACCAGCAUCAUAGCUGACAUGGUUAAUCCGUCUGCAACACAGCCAAACGUCCCCAGUGUCAUCAACACCAUGUCCUUCCAGUCCGAGUAUCUCAAAAUCGACCGUAAUGACCCAGAUGGAGUUGCAGGUUUCCCACUUUCUUCAGGUUUGGUUGAUGAUACAUCAUCCUUCUCUAUUUUUUCAUUUCCUUCUGGUUUGCUUGUUAAUGUAUCAUCCUUUUGUGUUUCUAAAUCGAGUUUUCCCAUGUUUCAGUGACUACUGUCUGAGUUUCGACUAUGAAAAAUUGUGUAGACAAUCCAUACUACAUGUUUAUAUGGACAACAUAAUAGCCCUGGAGCCAAUUUACUAUUACUAUACCGAGCUAGGGACAAUCGUUUUAGCUGAUGUCAUGGCUUACAGUUAAUGCAUCCAGGGAUGUAACAAUCCUAUUGUGAUCUGUUAGUAUUAAAUCAGAUCAGCAUCAAGAUUGCCAUAUUAUUGUGCCUUUGAAAGUAACUUUAUCAUUAGAAUGCUUAAAUUAUUGUAGUAACAUUGACUUGGUCAUGAGGUCUGGGCUACAUGUCAAUUCAUUUCUGCCUUAUUAUAUUGUGAGAUACAGUUUCCUGUCUCUCUUGGUGUUUUUUUUUCCCAUUUCAAGUAGGAGAUACACUCAGUAUCACAGGCUUCAACUGUGGUGCAUUAUAUCAGGAGGACAAAGGAAGCUUGUCAAUACCAUUUUUUUUCCUUUGGAAGCUACUAUUGGAUCACUUUCAUGCUAAUAGAAUCAAACUAUUACUAUAUUUGGGAAGUUUAAUCUUACUUCUAAAAUUUGGCCAGUCCUGUUGCCAUUAUUUGCGCAGGAGCUGGUUGCCUUCUUCAUCAACGUCAAAGAGAAUAACACCAUCUAAAUGUGUCAAACAAUGUCUCUGAUGUGUGUAAUUGAAUCAGCAUGUCCUCCCAGUUAAUCCAUGUACUCUGCUCCAAAUCUUUUUGUAUGCAUUUUCUUGUCCAGAGCAUGACUGCCAACGCAGUUCAGCCAGUUUUCGCUCAAUUUCCAGUCUCUUUCAUUUCGUCAUAAAUCAUUUUUCUUCUUCUAAUCUCUUAGGCCAACAGAUUCGCUAAGAUUCAAAACCGUGGUCUGCUCUGCUUUUCCAGCUACUGAUAAGAAAAUACUUUUGGUCUUAGUGGUCACGAGGUCUCAAACUAGUAGCAAAUUUUGAGAAAACCCUCCCAGGCUUAGAACAAAGAAGGUAGAAAUCUUUAACUAUGAAUGGGGUUGUGAGAUAGUUGAGCUCUUCCAAAACCCUGGGCACAAGAACUUCUAGAAAAUCUCUAAAACUAUCUCAUUUCAGUUUGUAUCAACACAGGUCUAUUUUGUAGCUAUUGGAGUUAAUUCUGAAAUCUCUCUAUGUGAAUCUCGCUGUCCUCAUUCUGCUACACUAAUAUCAUGUUCCAUACAGGUGGGAUUUAUUAUUGUUAGUUAUGCUUUCUCUCUGUUCUCAGGUUACCAGAGCAAGCAGAGGAAUCCUUGAUGCUGUCGGGCUUGUUCAUGGAACACCAAUCCAUAAUAUGCAGCUCUGGCGGGUUGGUCUAGCCAACCUAAAUCUGAUAUGACAUUUGGGCAGUUGGUAGAUAGUUUAAGCUUAAUUUUUUCAAAAUUUAGUUGAGGUUGGCUCCAACAAAAAGCAACUUGAGCUUAAUCCAAGACUGGUUUAGCAUUUUUAUAAUUUAUAUUACUACACAUAAGUGUUAUUAUUAUUUUAAAAGAAAAAAAAAAUGAAAUAGUCUAACUCUACCUUACAACUUGAGCUUGACUCAAACUUGAAAGAGUUGUAUUAGGCUGAACACCUCAAAUUAAAGCUCGGGUUGAAUUGAAUUUGGGUUGAACGUUUAUUAAUUCGGGUUGGGCUGAAUUUCCUCGAAACCAACCAAACCUGCGAUGUAGCCAAGCCAUGAUGUCUGUGACAUGUAAUUCAGUUUUUCCUUCAAAAAGAGGAUGAAAAGCUUGGUUAGAGAGAGCCACAAUUGGUAAAUGACGAAGUGGUUAGUAGGGGUGGGUGUCACGUAAUUCAGUAGCAAUUUAACAAGUGAGAAAAACAAAAUCACUUUCCAAUAGAGUUGAGAAAGCAACAGAUCCAUUUCCUAUUAAGCAAAAGCCUUUAACUUCCACCCCAACAGAACCUGUAAUGUCUAGGACACGGCAUUUUCGAAUUAGGAAGCCAAGAAUCUAGGGAAUUAGAACAAAAUUUUCGUUUCAACCCAGGACCAGAUAUUUGGGAAAAUCACCCCCACACCCCACAUCAACAAGUAAUGCAGAUUGGGUUAAAGCAGGUAGGUCUGGGUCCAUGCUGUCCUUUGGAUAACUCCCAAUGAUAAGGCAACAAGGCAUCACCAGCUUGGGGGAGGUGUCAGUUAUAGAAUUGAGACCAUGAGACGCCUCAGCAAGAGCUUCCAGCCACACAAUAGAGUGCAAGCAUCCAAGUUGGUUCCCAACCAAAUAAGUCACGCAUCCAUUUCAUGGGAGAACAAAUAAUUUGACAAAAGCUAGGCCCAAACAGAUAACUGUUUUUUUUUUUUAAAUAUAAAAUAAAAAAUAAAAAAAGUACAAUGUUUUUAUUAUUUAAAAAAAUAAUUAUACAAAUGUAGAGAGAGAUUAAAAAUAAAAUAUUAAAAAUAAAAAUUAGUUUUAAAACAUACAUAUAAUCAUAUAAAACAUGUUAAAAAUAUUUUAAGUUUUUAAACAAAUUUUUAUUAUAUAAAAAAACGAAAAACAAUUUUCAAAAACUGAUUUUUGAAAACACUUUCAAAAUUGAGCAUUUAGCCCUACAUACCCCAACGCGAAUUAUGCAAGGAAUGAAAUCAAACCCAAAAUUAACCCAAAACCAACAUAGUGAUUAGAAAGCGAAAAACAUAGGAGUUGCCCAUAUGUCUAAGUAGGAACUUAAGGAUGUGUUGGAAAGAAGAUUGCCCACAAAUUUCACCCAUUUCAUUAUUAUGGGCUUUUUUGCUUGGCGUCGAAGCAUAUUUGGCUUUAGGUAAAAGACAAAGUAGUUACGAUGACUUCAUAUUCCACUUGCAGGAUAUCGUGGCUCCAAGCCUCUUACUACGUAGCAUUGCUCGUCACCUUCUUCCCUACUCUCUCUCUCUAAGAUUCUUAAUAACGUGUUUGGCAUGCAAUCUUCCUAAACUGCACAAAACACUCCUAGUUUUCCAGGUUAACUGCUAAAAGAACUUCCCCCCUUCUUUUUUGGUGUAAAAGCUUUGAAAGAGUUAACUGAAUCAACCUUAUAUAAAGGAUUGCUUGUAUGGUUAAAUCAAUUCAAUCACCAGCUAGCUUCCUUGUUCUCCAUAUUCCUCACAACCCCAUCUUCACAUCCUUCAUUAUUGUUGAUAUAGUUGAUGCCCAUAAGGAACCUUCAACUUCUUCAUUUAUUAUCACUUGUUUUGUUCCUGCACUCCCAUCUCUUAUCUUCCAUUUGGUUAUUCUUUCAUUCUUCUAUAUAUACCUGGUUCAGAGUCUCUCAGUUGCCAUCCAAGUAUCAGAAAAUGAAGCGGUUUUUCGUGGUUGCUCUCUCAUUGGUUUUGGUUGUUGGGAUUGUUGAGAGUUUUGAUUUCCAUCAGAAAGAGUUGGAGACUGAAGAAAGUUUGUGGAAUUUGUAUGAGAGGUGGAGGAGCCAUCACACUGUGUCUAGGAGUCUGGAUGAGAAGCACAAGCGCUUUAAUGUGUUCAAGGAGAAUGUGAAUUUUGUCCAUGAGUUCAACAAGAAGGAUGAGCCUUACAAGUUGAAACUCAACAAGUUUGCAGACAUGACUAACCAUGAGUUCAGAAGCACUUAUGCCGGCUCAAAGGUGAACCACCACAGGAUGUUCCGAGGGAGCCAACAUGCAGCUGGGAGCUUCAUGUAUGAGAAGGUAAAGAGUGUCCCACCAUCUGUUGAUUGGAGGAAGAAAGGUGCUGUCACACCCAUCAAGGAUCAAGGCCAAUGCGGUAAGAGAUUUUGCCAAUUUGACUGAUCAUUUUCAAGUGUUAUGCAGAUACACAGUUUUUUUCGUGCUUGUGUGUGCCUGUUCUGAGUCUAAUUGUUGUUGAUGGUGUUACAGGUAGUUGCUGGGCAUUUUCAACGGUUGUGGCGGUUGAAGGAAUCAACCAUAUUAAAACAAACAAACUAGUUUCUUUGUCUGAGCAAGAGUUGGUGGACUGUGACACUUCAGAAAACCAGGGAUGCAAUGGAGGCCUAAUGGGAUAUGCCUUUGAAUUCAUCAAAGAAAAAGGGGGUAUAACAACAGAGCAGAGCUACCCUUACACAGCUGAAGAUGGAACUUGUGAUGUGUCAAAGGUACAUGGUUAGCAACGUUUGGUUUCAUUUAAAUUAGGUGUCUUCUAAUAAUGUUCAGUGAAUAUGAAGUGAAGAUUAUGACGAUGAAAUUCAAUGGUUUUACAGGUGAAUUCGCCAGUAGUGUCUAUUGAUGGCCAUGAAACCGUACCUCCUAACAAUGAGGACGCUUUGCUAAAAGCAGCUGCAAACCAACCGAUAUCCGUUGCCAUAGAUGCUGGGGGUUCUGCCUUCCAGUUCUACUCUGAGGUAUACUCCUGUCAUCCUGACUCAUCUACAAUCUGCAUGAAAAACCUAGCAUGCAGAUUCCAAACCUAUCUACAUGGCUUCUAAUGAUUGUGGAAAACAACAAAAUAAAACUGUAAUCAUAAACAAAAAUCUACAUAUGUUUAGUAGAAUCUCAGUUUAGCUUGACUAGUUCCUAAGAAUCAUUUUCUCGUAUUUGAAAACCUAGACACUCAAUAUAACAACUCGGAUUAGAAUAUCAGUUUAGCUUGACUUGUUCCUCAGAAUCAUUUUCUCAUGUUUGAAAACCUAAACACUCAAAAUAACAACUGGGAUUGUCCCUGAAUUUGGUGUUGUUAUAUACAGGGGGUGUUUGCAGGAAGAUGUGGUACAGACCUAGAUCAUGGGGUGGCAAUUGUGGGCUAUGGAACAACUCUUGAUGGGACCAAAUACUGGAUUGUGAAGAACUCAUGGGGAACUGAUUGGGGAGAGAACGGUUAUAUCAGGAUGAAGCGAGGCAUCUCUGCUAAGGAAGGACUCUGCGGUAUAGCAGUGGAAGCUUCAUAUCCCAUCAAGAACUCCUCAACAAACCCUGUGGGAGCUCCAUCCUCUCUCAAGGAUGAGCUCUAAGCGACAUUCACAGUGAACUAUAGCUUUUUUCAGCCUUCGCAGAUAUUUUGUGUUAGAGUUGCAUGCAGCAGUCCUCAUGGUAACAUGACCAAAUAAACUUUGUCUGACAGAUUUAUAAUAGCAUCGUUAUUUUAAUGUAUCUGCUAAGAUGUGUUUCACGUAUCAGAAUGAAAUAAAGUGCUCGAUUUUACUCUUUUGUUUUACGUAUGUUUUAGCAACAUGAAAGGUUGUGUAUUGGCCUAAGGAAGAAUCGACUAACUACUACAUAAUUAUACUUUAACUAGUCUUCCAUAUGAGUUUCUAGCUCAUGCUUCAGUUUAACAGGUUGCUAGAUGUUAUAUGAUUCCUGGAAGCAUGAGGUACUGCUUGAAUUUUGUAAGAACAUACCAUUGAUCAUUUGCAAGGUUGGUAGAUACUGAUAUCUAAUUACCACAAACAAAAAUCGCACCAUUCUUCCCUGCAGUUCUAAUAUUCAUAGCCAUGAGAAGUUUUGGAAGUUAUCAUACCAGUAAGUCCUAAAGUAAACAUCAAAUGAUCACAAACACAAAGAACAUUGCCCACUAUGUUAAAUUGCCCCUUUCCAGUUGUUGUCAACACAACCCCAGAAAUAGAGAGCAUGAAAUGGAUUUUCAGUGCGGUAUCAUGAACAUAUGCUAUAAAGGGUAUAUGAUUUCAACAACUACCCAUUGGCUAUUAUAUUCUUGCUCAAUUGUAAUGAUCGAUCAGACAAAAGCUCAACAUAUCAUAGAAGCAUUUUAUUACUAAAAUGUUUCAAAGACAAUCUAGGAUGGAGUAGUUCUUAAUUAUUAAUUCUGAAGUACCAAGCAAGAAGCCCAAACAUAGUGGAAGCUUCAUCCAUAUGACAAAUCAGAUUGUUUCUAGAACGUGCUUCAAUCAUAGGUUCCCUUAAGAUUUAAUAACUAGACUAGAGUAGUUUGUAAUUAUUGAUUCGGAACUAAGAAGCAAGAACCCCAAACAGAGGUAGAAGUUCCAAACAUAAAAUUCUAUAUAAUUCAUCAACCAUAGCAUCUGAUGGGGUCAGUGCAGCCCUUUUCAGCAGACUGGCGUAAGCCUUUACCUCCACCCUUUUCCAGAUAUUGCUGAUGGUACUCCUCUGCUCUGUAAAACCUCUUUGCUGGAAGAAUUUCAGUGACAAUGUUCUUAUCAUUCAACUC
rnacentral:lncRNA from 1 species